rnacentral:lncRNA from 1 species
CUGACAGCUCCACAAAUUCCCAUUAGAAGACACCCUAGAUGAUGGUGAAACACCACAGGACCCAUGGUGCCUCAAAGAGAAAUGGCCGCGGAUCACUUCCACCGGCACAUAGUUUUAUGCAGCGUCGAUCGGUGUGCAUGCAGCAUUGAAUAUUUGAAGUAGGAUCAUUUUCCGCACACUUUGGUAGACGAUUUGGGGCAUGAGUUUUCAAGGGUUUGUGACAUACACCCAAGUUUUCGGAUGGUGCUGGUUUGUUUAUCAGAAUGAACAUAUAAUUUGCCCCCUGUAACUAGAAUACUUUUUUUUUCCUGGCAUGAACUGUUCCAUUGGAAUUAUUAUUACAUUAACAGAAGCUUGUAAACUGGUUGGAAGUAAUUACCUGCUGCCAUGUCAAUGAGCUCGAUCUGAAUUCUCGCACGCAUAGCUGUACAGCUAAAGAGGUAAAUCCUUCGCUGUUAUAUAAACAGCAUUGGUUCAGAACUGCAUUCUGUUUCCUUUCUACACCAGCACAGGCAGCUCCUUGUCCACGAGAACAGAGAUGGGCAGCACCACUCCCUUCUCUAAUCCUUUUUGGGGUCCAAGGUGAGUGAUAUCAUCUUCAGAGAUGAACGCCAUGGCAAAACUGGCUACAGGACACUCCACCUGCCCACCAUCCAUUUGCCGAAAAGGCGCCGCACGACCCGGUGGUGAUGCCAGGGGGAAAAACCGUGCAUUUUUCAUUUACCAGACAGACUAGUAGAACGCCUGUGCGAGCUCAUUUUUCCUUAUAGGUCCGGACGUGUUCGGAUAUUAAACAGACGCUUAGUAGGCUCUUCAAAAUUGAACCAUCUGGACAGUACAGUUCGGGCUCCCUGAAAUUCAGACCAUAUAUGAGGAAAGAAAUGUGGUUUUUCAGACUAUCCACCAUAUUAUCUCCAACACACGGUCCCAACAGAAAAACCCCACCCCACAAUGCAUCGCCCUCCUUUUUUUUUUCUGCCGGGCGCUCCCUUUCUCGCCCGGUUUCCUGCUGUAGCGGGACAUUUCUCGUUGGAGCCUCCUUCUUUAAAAUUAAGUAACACCCACCUCACCUUCACCAUGCAUUGCAAAUGAGAUGAAUUUUUUCAAAUUCACAAUAUAAUAAAGUUGAUUAAACUAACACACACUAUUGAUACAAUAAAAUAACUAUAGAGAUUAGUCUCAAAGGUCCUUUCAACUUUGCCAAUGCACAAUGACAUGUAAGGUAAGUGACAACCUGAGUGUAUUCCUAGUCAUCAAUAAGCUCCACCUCCAGCCCAGAUAUCAUUCACUGCUAGAAGGGAAAGUUGAUGUUCUUCUCUUUCUCGUCCUUCCCUACAUCUUCUAGUUCUAAUCUCUUCGCCAACCCGUUUUGGUGGCCCCAACCAGCAGCACGUCAAUAUCAGCGCGUUUGUCAGCAACGCCUCAUCAUCUUCUUCUUCCUCCUUCCUCGCCAGUUUUAAUUAUCAUUCCUACUUAUUUUUAUAAUACUCUUUCUUUCUUGUUUCACUUUUUUUAACACUCUUUCCUUCUCCAACACCAUGGACCACUUGGUCGCUUUAGUUCUUUUUUCCUACUUAUUCUUGGAGCACUCUCCCUUUCAACAAUAGGAUGAACCAUCUGGCCACUGUAGUGUCGUGUUGUCCUUAUCCAUGAACAUUUCCACAACCGUCAACGUUUGAACAUCCUGCAGAGCAUACUCGUCAUCCAUCUUGGUGAACGCUAGGUCGUUCAGCGCGGGCCCAUGGUGACCAUUGUCCAUAUUGGCAAGUGCUGCUCGGCCAUGUCGUUGAGAGCCUAUUGAUCGUCCCUGCCGACCAGCGCUUCCAAAAUUAUUCAACACGAUGAAAUGCUUACUUAACUUAUUAAUUAUACAAAUAAUUAACAGACUACCUAAUUCUUUGCAUGCCUAAUUAACUGCCAAUCAAAUCAACUAAUUAUUCUAAUUGGGAAAAAAAUCUCUACUUCUAAGGCCCUGUUUGGUUCAUAAGUGCUAGGAUUUUUUUUUAGUCCCAACUAAAAAGUCAUUAUCCCUAAAAAGUCCCUACCUGUUUGGUUCCUGGGACUAAACAUGGACUGAAAGACCAUGUUACAACUAAAAGUCCCAAAAAGACUCUCCCUCAGGGUCUUCUUUCAUAAGUCCAAAUGCCCACUUUAAGUCCCUAUCAGUCCCUCCUGUUUGGUUUAGAUGGGACUAAAAGGGAUUUUUUAAGUCCCUACACCAAUAAGUCCCUACACCAAUAAGUCCCUAUAAACAAACAUCCCCUAGUUAUAUGUAGGCUUAAUUAAGUGUCUACCUAAACCAUUAAUUGACUUAAUGACUUGGUUUCAAAAUUGAUUCGGUGCAAAAAUAAAUUUCUAUUUAAAUGGAGCUAAUUAAAUGCAUACAUAAUUAAUUGUCUAGCUAAUUAAUUGCAUUAAAGGAUUGAUUUUCAAAUUGAUUCAGUGCUCGAUUUCCAAAAAAAUCCAUGAAUGGCUGCUACGAAUGACAACGACUAUCGAGUAUUGUAGGACACAUCUCCUUAACGAAUUUCUUGACAUUUGAAUGGACACACUUGAUUUGAGAAUGUAGCAUAUGUCUGACUCUGUAUAUUAAUGACAAGAAAUAUAAUAUGACCGUGUCCACGAACACAUGUACGCGGUGGUCUGACGACCUACAAUCCGCCACGGCCGUCCUCGACGCCUGAUGCACGCCUUGGCAUUCUCGAGUAUCACACCGCUGUCAGGCCUGGCCAUGACAUCCUCCAUGGUGUCGUGCAGGGCCCUCAGUAGGAGUGCGCGGAUGCGUACGCCUACAAGUAAAAGAUACGUUAUUUUUGUUGUUUACGAAACUUAUGAUAGCCAAUUAAUAGUGGAGAUAAUAAGGAUAAUAAUAAUAAUAAAUAGCAUAAUGCAUAGGAUUAAUGAUUUGUUAUCGAGGAACAUCUCAAUUUGAUUUGGAAGGUUAUCGAGGAAAAAUUACGUCUAUAAUUUAGGAAGGUGAUCUCACGUGUAUGAUGUGAGUUAUGAAUUCUUAAUUACCUAUUAUUUACGUGAUUGAAAUGAAUCAGAACUUGCUGAAGUAAGCACGGAAUAAGAUUUUCUCUUUAAUAAGAUUCGGGGUUUUAAUGUGAAGGAGACGAAAAACCUAUUGGGGGGCUGGUGGGAGGUGAGACGAAGAAAAACCGGAGGAAAAUAAAUCAUACCAGGCUACCAACUCCUUCAUUAGGAGUAGAGAUUACCAACUCCUAAUGAAGCACUUGAUAGCCUGGUACGGUUUAUUUUCGUCUGGGUUUUCUUCGUCCCACCUCCCACCACCUCCUCCCAUUCCGGUUUCCAUCGAUUUUUCACCUUCCUCCAUAGAAAAAAAAACGUUUUGCCUGUCAAAAAGAAACAGUCAUGCGAGCGGCUUUUCUCCCCUAUUGCCCUCACACGCACUAGGGUUCCUUGCGCCGCCGCCGCAGGCGAACUCCUCGACCAACCCAACCUCUUGCCUGUCCGCCCCAUUCCCUUCCCGCUCGCCGCAGUUGCCCCCGCCUUCCCCGCCGGUCCUCACCGAGAAACCUACGAGUCGCCAACGUGCACGCCCUGCCAUCCCCGUCUCCCACAACCACCUCGUCCAACCGGAGGCUGCUCCCCUCCACGCGGCUGCCGCAAGAGUAGCCGUAGGAGCCUGACAUGGUGACUCGCCUACGAUGGUGACUAUGACGGGUGUGACGCGCUUGCGCUGGAUACGGUGACCAUGAUAGCUGACACGUGCCGGCUCCGUUGACUGCAAUGAAGCAACGCACCAGCGACCAUGACCUUGAUGAGAGGUAGCCGAUGGAGUGAAAACCGCCUUCUCCAUGGCCUCUGGUUGCUUCCCGAUCCAUCCGAGAUUCGUCCGAAUGCUGGCGAGAUGAAUGCUUCCGGUGUGCAGCGCACAUAGUAAGUAUAUGUGUCGCUCGCACGUCCUUGAGCCCGUUCAUUGCCGUGUGUUCCGCUUGAUGAGCAAGCAACAUUAUCCUUGUUAAUUAGCUAGGGUUCUUGCGCUUGGUUUCUUGGCUUCACACAAAGCGAUUUCAUUUUGACCUCGUAGUUUCUUUCUGGCUUGAUCAAUACGGCUGUUUAAUUAUAAGUCUAAUAAAUCCAUACCUUCUCUAAAGCAUUCAGUUUUAAUAAGAUUCGGGGUUUUAAUGUGAAGGAGACGAAAAACCAGUUGGGGGGCUGGUGGGAGGUGAGAGAAGAAAACCGGCCGAAAAUAAACCGUACCAGGCUACCAGCUCCUCCAUUAGGAGUAGAGAUUACGAAACUUGUGAUAGCCAAUUAAUAGUGAAGAUAAUAAUAAUAAUAAUAAUAAUAAUAAUAAUAAUAAUAAUAAUAAUAAUAAUAAUAAUAAUAAUAAUAAUAAUAAUGCACAGGAUUAACGAUUUGUUAAUGAGGAAUAUAUCAUUUUGUUUUGGAAGGUUAUCGAGGAAAAAUUACGUCUACAAUUUAGGAAGGUGACCUCACAUAUACGGUGUGAGUUAUGAAUUCUUAAUUGCCUAUUAUUUACGUGAUUGAAAUGAAUCAGAACUUGCCGAACUAAGAACGGAACAAGAUUUUCUCUUUAACAAGAUUUGGGUUUUUAAUGUAAAGGAGACAAAAAACCAGUUGGUGGGGCAGGUGGGAGGUGAGACGAAGAAAAACCGAACGAACAUAAACCGUACCAGGCUACCAAGUCCUCCAUUAGGAGUAAAGAUUACAAAACUUGUGAUAGCCAAUUAAUAGUGGAGAUAAUAAUAAUAAUAAUAAUACUAAUAAUAAUAAUAAUAAUAAUAAUAAUAUAAUAAUAAUAAUAAUAACAUAAUGCACAAGAUUAAUGAUUUGUUAUUGAGGAAUAUCUCAUUUUGUUUCGGAAGGUUAUCAAGGAAAAAUUACGUCUAUAAUCUAGGAAGGUGACCUCACAUAUAUGAUGUGAGUUAUGAAUUCUUAAUUACCUAUUAUUUUCGUGAUUGAAAUAAAUCAGAACUUGCCGAACUAAGAACGGAACAAGAUUUUCUCUUUAACAAGAUUCGGGUUUUUAAUGUGAAGGAGACGAAAAACCAGUAGGUGGGGCUGGUGGGAAGUGAGACGAAGAAAAAUUGGACAAAAAUAAACCGUACCAGGCUACCAGCUCCUCCAUUAGGAGUAAAGAUUACGAAACUUGUGAUAGCCAAUUAAUAGUGGAGAUAAUAAUAAUGAUAAUAAUAAUAAUAAUAAUAAUAAUAAUAAUAAUAAUAAUAAUAAUAAUAAUAACAUAGUGCACAUGAUUAAUGAUUUGUUAUUGAGGAAUAUCUCAUUUUGUUUUGGAAGGUUAUCGAGGAAAAAUUACGUCUAUAAUCUAGGAAGGUGAUCUCACAUAUAUGGUGUGAGUUAUGAAUUCUUAAUUACCUAUUAUUUUCGUGAUUGAAAUGAAUCAGAACUUGCUGAACUAAGAACGGAAUAAGAUUUUCCCUUUAAAAAGAUUCGGGUUUUUAAUGUGAAGGAGACGAAAAACCAGUUGGUCGGGCUGGUAGGAGGUGAGACGAAGAAAAAUGGGACAAAAAUAAACCGUACCAAGCUACCAACUGCUCCAUUAGGAGUAGAGAUUACGAAACUUGUGAUAGCCAAUUAAUAGUGGAGAUAAUAAUAGUAAUAAUAAUAAUAAUAAUAAUAAUAAUAAUAAUAAUAAUAAUAAUAAAUAACAUAAUGCACAUGAUUAAUGAUUUGUUAUUGAGGAAUAUCUCAUUUUGUUUUGGACGGUUAUCAAGGAAAAGUUACGUCUAUAAUUUAGGAAGGUGAUCUCACAUAUAUGGUUUGAGUUAUGAAUUCUUAAUUACCUAUUAUUUACGUGAUUGAAAUGAAUCAGAACUUGCCAAAGUAAGCACGGAACAAGAUUUUCUCUUUAAUAAGAUUCGGGUAUUUAAUGCGAAGGAGACGAAAAACCAGUUGGUGGGGCUGGUGGGAGGUGCGACGAAGAAAAACCGGACGAACAUAAACCGUACAAGGCUACCAACUCCUCCAUUAGGUGUAGAGAUCACGAAACUUGUGAUAGCCAAUUAAUAGUGGAGAUAAUAAUGAUAAUAAUAAUAAUAACAAAUAACAUAAUGCACAUGAUUAAUGAUUUGUUAUUGAGGAAUAUCUCAUUUUGUUUUGGAAGGUUAUCUAGGAAAAAUUACCUCUAUAAUUUAGGAAGGUGAUCUCACAUAUAUGGUGUGAGUUAUGAAUUCUUAAUUACUUAUUAUUUACGUGAUUGAAAUGAAUCAAAACUUGCCGAAGUAAGCACGGAACAAGAUUUUCUCUUUAAUAAGAUUCGGGUUUUUAAUGUGAAGGAGACGAAAAACCAGUUGGUGGGGCUGGUGGGAGGAGAACGAAGAAAAACCGGACGAAAAUAAACGUACCAGGCUACCAACUCCUCCAUUAGGAGUAGAGAAUACGAAACUUGUGAUAGCCAAUUAAUAGUGGAGAUAAUAAUGAUGAUGAUAAUAAUAAUAAUAAAUAACAUUAUGCACAAGGUUAAUGAUUUGUUAUUGAGAAACAUACUCAUUUUGUUUUGGAAGGUUAUCGAGGAAAAGUUACGUCUAUAAUUUAGGAAGGUGAUCUCACAUAUAUGGUGUAAGUUAUGAAUUCUUAAUUACCUAUUAUUUACGUGAUUGAAAUGAAUCAGAACUUGCCGAAGUAAGCACAGAGCAAGAUUUUCUCUUUAAUAAGAUUCGGGUUUUUAAUGUGAAGGAGACGAAAAACUAGUUGGUGGGGCUGGUGGGAGGUGAGAUGAAGAAAAACCAGACGAAAAUAAACCGUACCAGGGUACCAACUCCUCCAUUAGGAGUAGAGAUCAUGAAACUUGUGAUAGCCAAUUAAUAGUGAAGAUAAUAAUGAUAAUAAUAAUAAUAAAUAACAUAAUGCACAUGAUUAAUGAUUUGUUAUUGCGCAAUAUCUCAUUUUGUUUCGAAAGGUUAUCGAGGAAAAGUUACGUCUAUAAUUUAGGAAGGUGAUCUCACAUAUAUGGUGUGAGUUAUGAAUUCUUAAUUACCUAUUAUUUACGUGAUUGAAAUGAAUCUGAACUUGCCGAAGUAAGCACGGAGCAAGAUUUUCUCUUUAAUAAGAUUCAGGUUUUUAAUAUGAAGGAGACGAAAAACCACUGAUGGGGCUGGUGGGAGGUGAGACGAAGAAAAAUCGAACGAAAAUAGACCGUACCAGGCUACCAACUCCUUCAUUAGGAGUAAAGAUUAUGAAACUUGUGAUAGCCAAUUAAUAGUGGAGAUAAUAAUGACAAUGAUAAUAAUAAUAAAUAACAUAAUGCACAUGAUUAAUGAUUUGUUAUUGAGGAAUAUCUCAUUUUGUUUUGGAAGGUUAUCGAGGAAAAGUUACAUCUAUAUUUUAGGAAGGUGAUAUCGCAUAUAUGGUGUGAGUUAUGAAUUCUUAAUUACCUAUUAUUUACGUAAUUGAAAUGAAUCUGAACUUGCCAAAGUAAGCACGGAACAAGAUUUUAUCUUUAAUAAGAUUCGGAUUUUUAAUGUGAAGGAGAUGAAAAACCAGUUGGUGAGGCUGGUGGGAGGUGAGACGAAGAAAAACCGGACGAAAAUAAACCGUAUCAAGCUACAACUCCUUCAUUAGGAGUAGAGAUAGUGAAAUUUGAUGCCGGAAAAUACAUCAAAUGUGUGUUUUGCCUCUAUAUAUGCAGUGCUAUAUAGGAGCCACACUCUUGACUCACUAGCACAGCCACCAGUCCACAACAGUUCUCUCCUCUCCUCCCUUGAGCCUGAAGAAGAAGCCAUAGCUUACACGAGGAAGGAGAUGGAGGUGAAGAAGCCGAGGGCAGCCGCCAUGGCCGCGCUGUGCGUGCUCCUCCUCCUGCUGCUGCUGCCCGGGCAGGCGGCCGCCAAGUCCCGGUCCGAGUUCUGCGAGUGCUUCGACGGGUGCUACCUCAGCUGCAGGAACGACCACCACAACCCGCGCUGGGCCUGCAUCCCGUCCUGCCAAGACUCGUGCACCAUCUUCACCAGCCAGGCCGGCGGCGGCGCCGCCCUGUGCGACUGCGAGACACGCGCCUGCGAAUCGUCAGCGGCGCCGGCCGGUAAGGCACAACGGACCACCUUUUAUCACAUUCUUCUUCUUGAAUCUUGAUGAGUUGGAUCUGUGUGUUCUUUUACUUUUGGAAAGGACUAUUUCUUCUUCUGAUGAUUUCUGUUGUUGCAUUGCGAUUUUGCAGAUGCACCUGACGCCGCGGUUCGAUAACUAGCUUCCAAGCUGCUCCGUUUUAGGAGAAGAGAGAAAGAUCUGAAGAGCUAGCUUGUCGAUCAUCGGAUCGUAUACAAACGAUGUUGAACGGCCGUGAUUGUAGCAGCAACCAAUGAAAUGAGUUUAUGUGGAUGUUGUCUUGAUACACAAGGCGUAAAAUAAUGUUCUAUGGCUGGAUCACAAUUCACAACAACCAAAUUUAUUUGUCUUUUUUUGUGCCGAAAAAGUGAAAGCAAGUGUUCUUAAGCUAACUUGUACAAUGGCUAAAUGACACUCUCCACUUGGCCAUGUCCGAAUUGGCUAAAUGACACCCUCCACUUGGCCAUCAACCAUUUCACCGAAACUCGUUGCAUAACCCGAAGGCGGUACUAGGGCAAAUCGUGGCCAUUUCAAUUUCCCGAAAAUAGCGAAAUACGAUGCUCCAUGCUCGAAAAACACAUUACGCGCCAUCCAGCGGGUUAAAUGUCGGUUACAGCCUUGGAGCUCCGGUGCCCAUUUAAGAAGAGCCCCUCCCACGCCGCCACUCUGUUGAACGUAAUAUUAGGCCUUGUACAAUGGGAGGUGCUUAGAGGAGAUGCUUAGAGAAAUAAACCAGAUUUUCUUUAAGCACCGGUGCUUAUUUAUAUAGAAUAGACGCUUAACUAAGCGUCUCUUCUGUAGAAAUAGGCACCAGUGCUUCAGAAAAACCCGGUUUAUUUUUCCAAGCAUCCCUCUAAGCACCUCCCAUUGUACAAGGCCUUAGUGGGCAAUGUACUUGGUGCAUAUCUUUGUAUUAGAAGGAUAUUAUUUAGGAGAUUUCUUCUGAUUGUAACCUUCUUGUAUUCUCUACAAUAUCUCACUCUCUCUGAUUUCCCUUGAUCCUCAAGGAUUGUAACCAAAUAUAUAUGCGCUGAUGGGAUAAGCCCCAUAUAAUCAAUACUAUAAACCAACACGGGCUCUCUACAAAGAGUUGAGACGCUUCGAUCACCUUGCACAUGGUAUACAGGGCCAAUAGCUCCUGUGCGACGUUUUUGAUGUGAAUUUGCUUGAGUGCGACGUUGUUCGAGUGAAUGGCUGUGGUGCGACACAUUUGAGCAGGUAAAUAGCCCAGGGCCACAUGGGGUGUUAAAUGUGGUUAAAUUGGUCGUCAACCAAGCCCGUUUAUGUUAGGACAUGUGGGUCCAACUUAAUUGCUCCUCAAAACAGCUGACCGUGCCCUGCCGCCCGACCGUGCCGGGCCCGCCACUCUGCCCCCUCCCCCCUUCUUCUCCGGUGGCGGCGGAUCUUGCGUUCUCAACGGCGGCGGCGGAGCCCUCGUUCUCAACGGCGGCGGAGCCUUCGUCUUCAAAAAAUGGUGAGUGAGAACACUAGUCCCCCUCCCGUUCCUCUCUCGGCCCCGUAGAUCUCAGCUCGUUUCCUCUGUUUUCGCUUGUUGAAUCGAUAGGUUGUGAGGGGAGCCCGUGGGCAUACUGAGAUGGAGCCGCCAGAUUCAACUUUGAAUAGGUAAUGCUCGUCUCUCUGAUCCAAUUUUGCAUGCAAUUAGGGCCUAGUCUGCUCUUUCUCAUGGGCUCACACUGUCCGCCACUAACAGAGGGGAUGCUGCCGCUCGGACCUUCGAAUUGACGGUCAAUUUCUUUCCAUCAAAGACAAAAUUAGUUGAUGGUAGCAUUCAGAACAUUGAGAGAGACACAAUUGUUAAAUGGGAGGUUGAGUUUACAGAGAUUGAUCCACAAGUUCUACAGAACAUGGGAGAGAAGGCAGUGAAGAAAUGGGUGGAAAAAAUUGGGGAGAAUGUUGUUUGUGGUCCAGAGCAAGAAGUAUCACUGUUGCGGUUUGAUGAUUGGAAAGGAGAGUAUGUGAGAAUGGAAGAUGGUGAACAGAUUGUUGAAGAAAUCGAUCGGCAAAACGGCUGGACAAGCAAACGAGCUAAUUUUUUUGCUGAGCUGGUUGAUCUGAAUAUUUUUUCGAAGGUUGGAUAUGUGCCAUCACAAUUGGUUGCGCAGAUGGUAGAUGAUGAUUGGGCUACACAAAGGCCAUUGAUUCCCAUGUAUACUGAACUUACAGUAAUAGCCGAAGAGGGACAGGUGACUGGAACUGAAACUGAAAUUGCAGCAACUGUUGAUUGGAAUGUAGUUGAAUUAGAUGAGCCUACUGAUUUGGUCAUUGCACCAAUGCCUGACAUUGAGAUGGCCAAACUUUUUGGCAUUCCAGUCGAUGACAGAGAUAAGCAGGAGAGGGGAGAAUCUAGUUUUCCUGCUAAUGUUGAUGAAGAUGUAGAUGGACAAUUGAUGGAACAAGCUGCAGAUGAAAUAGAUGAUGCACAUGAUGAUAAGCUGGUGCAUGGGUAUGACAAAGAAAACCCUGUCAUUGAAGUAGGCAAGUUGUUCCCAAGCAUGAAGGAGUUUAGGAUGUGUUUCAAGACUUAUGCAGUGAAACAUGAGUUUGAUGCCAAGACUGUUUGGACUGAUAGGAAGAAGUUUUAUGCGAGGUGCAGAGGAUUUGAUGGUAGUGUCAAGCCUUGCAAGUGGUACAUAUCUGCUAGAUUGCAACCUGAUGGAAGUACUGUCAGGGUUAACCAAAUCCCCAAUCAACAUACUUGUAUUACAAGUUCACAGAGAGUAUCAACCAUGACAUCACAACUUUGGGUUGCAGAAAAGAUCACCCCAAUUUUAGCCAAAACACCAAACACUACUGCCAAGAAACUCAAAGUAGACUUGGAAAAGAUGUACCCCAUUAAACUGAAAUAUACCACAGUGUGGAAGGCAAAACAAAGGACAAUGAAAAAUUUAUAUGGUGAUUGGGCAUAUACAUUUAGAUGCUUUACAACUUCAAAGCAGAGGUGGAAAAGAGGUCACCUGGUAGUGUUGUGGAGAUAGAUACAGAGGUAUCAGCCAAAGGUGAAGUCAAGUUCUCCAAGUUUUUUAUGGCUUUGAAGCCUUGCAUAGAUGGCUUCAAAGCAGGGUGCCGUCCAUAUUUGAGCAUAGACUCAUCAUUUUUGACAGGCAAGUGGAAUGGUCAGUUGGCAGCAUGCAAUGCUCUAGAUGGACACAACUGGAUGUUUCCUAUUGCUGUUGGCUUGUUUCAGUCACAAACCGAGGCUUCAUGGACAUGGUUCUUAAUCCAGUUGAAAAGAUGCCUAGGGCCAGUGUCACCUUUGGCUAUACACACAGAUGCAUGUAAGGGGCUUGAAAAAUCAGUGAAAAAUGUUUUCCCACAUGCUGAGCAGAGGGAGUGCUUCGGUCAUUUGUGGAUGAAUUUGAUCAAAAAAUUUAGAGGAGAAGAAUUUGGGCGCAUGUGGCCAACAGCAAGAUCUUACACUAGACAGACACACAAAUAUCAUCUUGAUAAGAUAAUGGUAGCAUGUGAUGAGUUUGGUCCAUGGCUGAACACCUACCAUUCUUUGUUAUGGUACAGGUCAGCAUUCAACACUGCCAUCAAGUGUGACCACAUCAACAACAAUUUGGCAGAGAGUUUCAACAACAAGGUGAAGGAGUUAAAAGAUUUGCCUGUGCAUGACAUGGUUGACCAAAUCAGGAUCAUGCUCAUGCGGUUGUGGGAAUUGAGAAGAAGGAUAGGUGAUUGUCUGCAAGGUGAUAAGCUUCCAGCAGUGGUACAACAGGUGGUCAAUAGGAGCAGAAGUCUUUCACAUUUGUUUGUUGAAAAAUCUUCACCUUGGGGUGCUGAAGUUAGAGAUAACAAAACUGGAAGGAGACAUAUUGUUAACACUGAAUUGCAUGAUUGCACUUGCCUCGAGUGGCAACACACUGGUAAACCAUGUGAGCAUGCCAUUCUUUUCUUAGCAUCCCAACCGAAGAUAAACAUGCACCCAUAUCUGCAUGAAUAUUAUUCGGUAGCAAGAUUCAAAGCUGCAUAUGCUACUCCAAUUCCAGCACUUACAGAUCAGUCUCAGUGGCCUGAAGUGGAAAUUGAAUUUUUCAUGUGUCCUCCCUUGACGAAAAGAAAGGCUGGCAGGCCUAAACAGAGUAGAUUCAAGGCAUGGUUUGAGAAAGGUGGGAGUAGUAAGAAGGGAAAGAAAGAUGAAAAGCCAAAAAGGGCCCAAAAAGGUAACAAAAACAGAUGCAAGUUGUGCCAGGAACUUGGGCACAGAGUGGGAUCUGUCAAAUGCCGUUACACUCCUGAUAAGCCAAAGUAUGUUCUUGUUUAUUUGUUUGUGUUUUGAUUUGGUGCUUUUUUCUAAUUACUAUAUCUAUAACAUUUUCUGCACAGGAGGAAGCGAGCAAGUCAGCCCCUUGUUGUUGAACAGUGUUGGCCAACAAAAAAAGCAAGAGUCAAUGGCGGUAGAAAGAAGAGAAGUGUGCCUGAGCCUGAGCAGACUAAAGAAAAUCAUGCUGCAGUCAACAUUCAGACUGAAUUAACUAAUGUGGAGGUGCACACCGAAGAAACUGAACUUGAGCGUGUCGAGGUUCAGACUGAAGAAACUGAACCUGAGCGUGUCGAGGUUUAGACUGAAGAAACCCAUGUUGAGGUACACACCAAAGAAACUGAAACUGGUGUCAACAUUGAGAUUGAAGACACUGAUCACGAGGGUAUUGGCGAGGUGUUGAAAAGACCAGUGAAGAAAACCAAGAUGAUCAGUGAACUUGUGUGUGUAGUAGAACCAAAAAUAAGAAGGGCUAAGGCGAAGAAGGGCACACGACGUGGUAGGAAGAAGUAGAACAGAGAACAGUUUGAAAAUUUGGGGCAUGUAAUAAUAUUUGUAACUUGGUGCGUACUGGUAGUCACUAUGUAUCCCCAUAUUUCUAUUCAAACUUGUUUGUCUAAACCAGCCAAAUAAAAUUUAAAUUUAAAUUUAAAUUUGGGCUAUUGAUGUUUUAGUGCUAUCUAAAGUACCUCAACUGAAAUAUGUUUGCUUGCUGAUCAUUCCGAGCCCUUUUGGUAAGUUGAACUGCCCGUUGAACUCAUAGUCAUGAAAAGUGUGUUUCAAAUGACCUCCAAAGGUAGGGUAAACGACCUCAUAUUUAAGCAAGUUUUUUUGGCACCUUGUCUAAACCAGCCAAAUAAUUUUUUCUACACAUCUAUUCUACCUAUAUAGUGUAAAUCUAAAGUCUCACUAUUUAUUGAAUUAAUUUUCUAUUUUUUUCAUUUCUUUUUGAAAAAACAAGGUUUAAUAGAAAAUUAUAUAUAAAACAAGUUUAAAACAUGAAAAUGAGAAAAGUAAGUUCAGAUCUUUCUUAGUCAAUCCAAAAUGAAGUUUUGGUGAGGUUUUCACACUUUUCAUUUUCAAAACUCCACCUACUCUCGGGUGCCCACUACUCUCUCCCUUGAACUCCAUACUACAUUGUUUGAGGAAUGACAAUUUUGUGAAGGAUUUUUCGUACAAAUGUAUGUAAACCAUAUUUAUAUUUUUUCUCGUUACUAUACGACAUAAUAAGACUAUGUGCGCAAGUUUUAUAUUUUUUUGAAUUAGUUAUGCUCAACCCUAAUCAGUCAAAACCUCUCAAAACCCCUCAAAACCCCUCUCAAAACCCCUCAAAACCCCGCACACUACCUGGUCGUCGAUCGUUGUGCGUGGACGGUUGAGAUCAGGCGCUAGGGUUAGCUACAGUGUGCAGCGAUCCGCAUGAGACGCGCUGAUUGGUUGACGCGGUGGGGUUUGGAUUAGCCUCUCUCGUUGGAGCAUCAGGACCGUUCAUUUGAAUCCAACGGCAAGAGAUGACGCGGUGCAUGGACCAAGCCUACGCAGUGCCCUUUCCAUCGUUGCAUGCGUGCCCGUGCCUACCCGCAGCAUGCAUGCCCACCCGCAGGACUGCGCCCGUGCGUUGCAUGCAUGUCUCGACGUAGCCCUGCUCCGCCACCCCUAUCAACGCAGUAAGCUGUCGCAUGCCUACCAUUAGAACGGAUGCAGCGUCGCAUCAAAGCAUGCACCCGACCACAAUGCAGCAGCCCGAUGAAGACAACGAAAAAGCCAACGCUGCAUGGCGUGGUGUGCACGCUGUGCAUGGCGUGCUCCUCUUUGAGGAUGCAAUACUGGCAUGGGGUAUCGAUGUGGGUAUCGAUGCAGUUCAAAUGGCAUGCUGCCCGUUACAAGAUGGGCAAAAGAAGGCAUCCAUUAUUGUCACGUCUCCCAUCGAGCGAACCUUGCCCUCUAGCCAGGCCCUAGCAAGAUGAGCAAAUUAAUGGGCAACGACAUGCAUGCACGGGCGGCACACGCAGAGAACCCGGGGAAGGCGUGUCCCCUUGACCCACGACGGCACAGACGCGUGCGUGAGCCCGUCCCCCUUGACCCACGACCGGUGGCACAGAAGCAUCGCAGUCCGUUUCCCACGGCCACGCUCGUGUACACACUUUCAUGGGGCGCCACCAAACGCCGCCCGCCCAUUAACCCCCCAUUAAUUCUAGGGUUUCGACGGGGUGAAACCACGUCGCACUUGGGCUAUUUAAGCCGGGCACUAUCGUCCUCUCCCUCCUCAUCCAUCAUACCCCAUCCUCUGCCUCCUCUGCCCUUCUUCUUCCUUCUCCAUCAAACCCGACUGAGCACUCGAGCCACGCCCCCCCGCCACCAUGCAGUACACCGCCCCCACCUACCGCUUCCCCCCAACCGUGCCGGAAAGGCUCUACCCGGCCGGAGUGUAUGUAGAGAGAACCCUUAGGGUUUGGGCGAUCUCGAGGUGGAGGGGCGCAAGGGAGUUAACAGAGUUCUUCCUUGCGGCCGGCUUCCGCCACCUCCCCCGCGGCUCUCCUCGGAUGUACCAUGUUGAGGAGGUCAACCACAACGGCGUUGUGGUUGGGCUCCUCACCACGUUCACUAACCCUUUCGAUGCUUUCCAUCUCCUCGGGCGAGCGUAUUGGGUUGGUUGUGAGUUCAUAGCUUUCACCACCUACAAUAUCUUCACCGACUUCCAGAGCAUCUUCCCCAACAACGGCGUUAUGCACACGCUCCCAUACCCCAUCAACAACGGGGAGGAGUGAAGGACGGCGCCCGGAGGAGCGAGGUGGCGUUGUUCCCCCGGAGGAGGAGGAGAAGAAGAGCCCGAAGAAGAACCCGCGUUUGGUGCCCCCCGAUCUAUCUAGCUUAUCGUAUUAGUUUUUUUAAGUAGUAAUCGUUAUGCUACUAUUAUUAAGUUGUAUUAGUAUUUUAAGUUGUAAGGCUAUCAUGGAGUUGUAAGGUUAUCGUGGAACUAUGGGUUGCAAUCGUUAUGCUACUAUAUAUAUUGUGUGUUUCGUGCUAUUAUUUGAAGAUUGCUAUGGGUUGUUCUUGCUUAUCAUUUGUGUAUUGCUAUGGGUUGCUACGAGCCCGGGUUGCUACACCUCAAUCUCACCACACACACACCAUCUUCAAAAUAUUGUCCAAACCAUGGACAUGCAAGCCCCAUGCAACUAGGAGCCCCAUGCAAACCCACUAUGGACAUGUCACUAGGAAAUGCAAACUAAUUUACUUCAUGCAACUCAUUUAGUUCAUGGAACCGUAGACAUGCAUAAAAACAAUUAACAUUUGGUUUUAUUGCAUCAAAAAAUGAUCCAUCACAAAAUUUAGUGCAAGAAAAAGGCCAAAGUAAAAACAAGUAACAUUUUAUUUGCCGAAGUUAGAGGUGGGCUGGUGCCGCUACGCGGGUGGGCUGGUGCCCCUAAGCGGGCGGGCUAGUCUCUAUUUUGGGCAUGGUUAUUUUCUCAGGGCCCAUUUUCUCACGGCCCAACAUCUAUUCGGCAGCCCAGUUUUGUUUUUUUACUAGAAACUGAAUUUGGGUGUGUACUCUGUUAACUGAAGAACAAAAACAGAGAAAACGGAGCAUGAACACUGAAUAGGGCCCCUGAGAAUAUCAUUACAAUAAUUCAAGCAAGUUUUGCUUCACACGAAUUCAAGUUCAUCUAACAAAUGAUCCCUGGCUAACUCAGACCACUGGGCACCCCUGAAACUAGCUGACUAACUAACUGAAACUAUAACAAAUUCUAGCGAUUGAUGAACAUCAAGUAAAAUAAACCCAUAGCAAUGACACAACCAUAAAAUGCUCCCGCCAUCUUAUUUGCUUGCUGCUUCAAAUCGAUCAGAUGCUUUAGUUGCUUGCCGAUUUUCUUCAAUUCACACUUCAGUUCUGCACUGUGCAUCAUCGGAUCGGCUCUGUCCGCCAAAUUGGGGGCUUGUUCCACGGCAAGCCGCCCCCCAAAAUUGAGCUCUUGGGUUGGGGUUGAUCCCUCCAAUUUCAACCUUUCAACAUAUUCAUCGAGCCACUCAAAAUGCCCACAUUUCUUCAGAACCUGAAAACAGGGGGCCGGCGACGCAUGAAUCCUAGAUCCACCACCCAGAUCCACCGCCCUAAUUCGAGGGAAAAAGAAAGAAAUCGGGAGAAAUUAGACCAUAGAAUUGGUCAAGAACACAGAUCUAACCUGCCCCGGCUGUGGCUUGCUCAAACAUUUCACAAACUCGCGCCCACGGUUGCCAUUUUCUUCCCUCACACAAGUCAAACGCUUGAGAGGCUCCAUGCGCGGGCAAUCGGGGCAUCUUGUCAACGGCAGUGGACCAUACUGCAUCCAUGAUUGGCGGGUGGCUGAAGUCGAGCUAGACAUCACUCGCCGGCGGUGCGCUUCGUUGCCGGAGCAGAGGAAGAAGAAGGUGGGAAAGGAAAGGGGCAGGGUAAGCAAUGGAGGGGCAGGAUACUGGCAUGGGGCUGGCUCGGGUCGAGGCACGCUGAUGAGCACGGGCAUGCUUGUGUGGAUAAGUUGUGGGUCCCAUCCGCAUGCGAGUAAUUGGUGGGUCCCGCGUGUCAUAACUCUAAUCGCUAACCCUCGUGUUUUUUAUUUCACGGUUAAACAGAGCCAUGUCGCAUUGGAGCUAUUUACACGCUCAAGUGUGUCGCAUCACAACCAUUCACUCGAACAACGUCGCACUCAAGCAAAUUCACAUCAAAAACGUCGCACAGGAGCUAUUGGCCCGGUAUACAGAGCCCCUUCUCCCUAUAGUAUCUAGCUCCUGUUUUUGUUUCCUCCAUCCAUGGUGUGCUCCUCUACCACCCCUGCCUUCAACCUUGCCUCUCAAGUCUCGAAGAAACUCUCCCGCACUAACUAUCCUAUGGCAUGCCCAAGUGCUCUCGCAGAUUAGGGCUGCUGGCAUAUAUCUAUAUCUAUAUCUAUAUCUAUACCUACUAAUAAAUCUAUAUCUAUAUCUAUACCUACUAAUAAAUCUAUAUCUAUAUCUACAUCUAUCUAUACCAACAUAAAAAGGGAAACAAUUGUAGCCGGUCGACCGGCUAGCGUUUCUGCCGGUCGCUGGCUGCUCGUUAGAUCCAGAUCGGUUCGGCAAGCUAGCCCUGGACGCGUUUUUAUUUCAGCCCAUGUAUAAGCCCACUUGUCCUCUCUUUGACCACACACGUGCUUAUCCUUUUCUUUUUAUUCCUCUCAACAAAAUCACCAUCCCUCGUCUUCUACCCACACGGGUGGAGUGCUCCUUCCGUUGAAACUCCAUGAAUCCACCUCUUAUCCUCUCCCUCCUACCAAUCCAUUGAUGUGAUGAUUCCCUUCUUUAAUCUCUAAAACAUGGCCGUGGCUGGCGAAGCUACGUCAUUGGUCGGAGUUGCAUCCGUGGUCGGUGAAGCUGCAAGGUGCGACGCGUCGCACUGUUUUGCUACAACCAGCUAUGAUGAAAUUGCGACCAACACGAGGCAAAGCUGCAACCAGCAACGCCAAUUGCUACGUCCAUCACUCUUUUUUGCUGGAUGCGGAGAAAAUGAGGGUUGUAACCGGUGUUCAACGGAGCUGCAACCAGCAUCACAAAUGCUACGACCAACGUCUUUUUUUGCUGGAACCAGAGAGCAGGGCGGCUGACCAGCGCGUGAAGAAGUUGCAACCGGCAUCUCCAAAUGCUACAACCGGCAUUCUAAAAAGCUACAUCUGCCAUCUGGAAAAGCUUCAACAGGAGACGAGGAAGCUGGCGGCGGCUGCUGCUCAACCGCGAAAUGCUGCAACCAGCAGCUGAGAAUGUUACAUCCGGCAACUGAAAAAGCUUCAAAUAUGAGACGACAAACCAACAAUGGCGAGCGACGAGGAUAAGUUGCGACGGUAAUGCAGGGUGAUGACGGCAAGCUGUGACGGUGGAUGGGGCAUUCCCGAGAACUGGGGCGUCGCGAAUCGAUGACAGCGCCUUUUGUGCGGGCGGAUGGCAGGGUGCCGCGAGGCGGCAGCAGCAAGGUGCGACGGCGAUGCAUGGCGGCCGGCCACGGCGACCUGUGACGGCGGACGCGACAUUCACGGGAGCUAGGCGUAGCGAGUCGACAAGCAAUGGUGUAGCGCAUGGCAACGGCGACGCGUUUGACACUAGCAGAUGACGGGUUGCUUGCGUUUAGCGCGUUCAAUUUUGCUUGAGUUCAGUGCGUUCAGCUUUGCAUGCCCUAACAACAAAAAGGAUACUGAUCCAACGGUUACAACUGGGACGAAUCCAACGGAUGUGCUACGACCGGCGGGGCGACUCGGCCGGCGCACCAGCGCAGAGUAGCGCCCAUGGGAAAAACAGCAGAGUACCAAACAGAAUUGACGAUGGAAAACAUUUACGACUAGUGCGCCGGCGGAACUUUGCGCCGGUCCGCUGCACGCGCGCCACAUGGACAUGGGUCCCAUGCACGUCUUCAUCCCCAGAGCCUCUUCGUCCACAGAAAUCAUAUCGCCUGCAUCGUCUUUUCUUCCUCUUUUUUCAUAUGUUGCUCUUCCGCCUGCACAACCUCUCGCACACGUUAACACAUCCUAGCUCCGGCGAGGCUACCACAGGCGGACCUCCCCUACACGGCCGUGCUUCAAGAAGCCAUACCAUCGGCGCAAGCGCCGCUACUGUGAGCGUUGCUGUGGAGCUGAUGCAGCAAAAAAAGAAAGCUACCACCCGUGUCGGCGAAGACGUGGCGACGCUGCUCCGGGAAACAACCGACAUCACAUCCUGCUACAACGCGGCCGCGCAGCACUGCCAUGGAAUCCGCCACCUCUGAAAGCCGCAACCAGUUCAGCCAGAAGCUGCAACCGUUGUUGAAUUUUGCUACUACCGGCGACGGAUUUGCUACAUCCAUCACGGCAGAGUUGCAACCUACUAUGGCGGUUCCUUUUUCUGUUGCAACCGUCCUCAGUUUUUGCUACCACCGGUGAGCGAUUUUGAUACAUUCAUCAUGGAGGAGCUGCGCCCAGCGACGAGAUGAUUUGCUACAACCGUCAUCUUUUUUUGCUACGACCACUUUUUUUUUGCUACAACCAAUUGGCCAUACUGCGCCCCGCGACGGGGCGAUGACCAGUUUUUGUUGCAACCGCCGUCUAAUUUUGCUACUACCGGCGAGACAAUUUGCUACUUCCAGCGAGGACAAUUUUUUUGCUGCAACCGCCAUCUACCACUGUCUGCUUUCGCUACUACUGGCAAGGUUAGUUUUUUAAAAAGUUGCAAUCGUUGACAUGAAAAGCUUCAACCCUAUUUUUGAAAAGCUUCAACCCGGCGACAAAAAGUUGGAACUGGCACCUCAUCAUUGAUGCAAUGGCGGCACUUCUUCGUCGGAGCUGCGACCUUCGCCGGCAGGAGCUUCAUGCGGCGGAGCCGACGAGAACCACGACGAAUCGGGGGUGCUGCAACCGGGUGUGGGGUACGCUGGGAACAAGCGACGAGACGCUGGAGAGGAGCCGGCGGCCCGCGGCCGGGAGGACGUCCAGGGAUACAGGGGCGGUCGAGGGCGGUGGCCGGCAACGACGAGGCCAACGGCCGGCGGCAACGUGGGCGGUCGGUAAGCUGGUUCACAUCUGGCGGAAAACAAGGAUUGCUCGGAUGAAAUAUGCGACAUGGUUUCUUCUUUUAACUAGCGAAAUCAGUUGUGAAACGUAGGCAUCGUGCGGCUAUUACGAGCUAAUCGUACGUACCCGGUGCGACCGGCCGAAAUUUCGGCCGGCGCACCGGCGCCAUCACUCGCCAUAUGAAAAGACGGUGCAGAUCCAACUGAUCUCGGCCAUCAAACUAAGCCAAUCCAAUGACCUAGACUGCUCCAAUGGCGAGCGUUCAACGUGUAAUUAAUAUCAUACCAAAUAUUGCACUAAUCACAGAAUUAAUACAUAAAUAAUAGCAUACAUAAUAUCCGUGUGCAAUUAAUAUAUUGCCUAAAUAUUAACGUGCGUUGCACGUGCGCAUUUACUAGUAUCUCUAUUAAUAAAGCAAAGUGCGUUUCUCCAAUUUUUCAUCUGUUUACUCACUUUUUUUAUCCGAGGUGGUACUAAAUUUUUAUGCGUUCAUCUACUAGAAAAGAAAAAUGGUUUGUCCUGAAUUUCGUACCUGGGCUGCGCUCUGAGGCCCAGCGAAGCCAUCCGGCCUAUUUGCUGCACGGAGCGUCAAAUAGCCAGCGCUUCGAACAGGUCGCCCAGUAAUAGGCUGGCCCGUAUUCGUUUCAUUCUGUGUUCUGUUUUUUUUCGUUCCUUUGUCUUAUUCUUUCCUAUUUGUUUUUACCUUUUUCGCUUCGAAGUUUAAUUUCAUUUUUAUUUUUCAUAAAUUCAAAAUUUUCAAAAUACUCAGAAUUUCAAUUUUUUUUUCCAAAUUUUCGAUAAAUGUUCCAAAUUCCAAAAACAAUUCCUGGUUUGGAAAAUGUUCAGAUAUUUUUUUUUUUUCUAAUUCCAAAAUCCGUUCAAAAUAAAUAAACAAACCCAAUUUUUCGAAAAAAAAUUGUGUUCUCCAAAAUUAUACUUGAUUUAGAAUAAUUGUUUUUUCAUUUUAAAAAAUGUUUGAAAUUAGAAAAUAUUGAUGUUUAAUUUAAUUGUUCACAAAUGUAAAAUAAUUUUUGCAUAAAAAAACAUACCUUUGAAAAUAAUUCUUAGUGUUCAAAACAUGUUCUCAUUUUAAAAUAUUGUUCAUUAAUACAUAAAAUGUUUGUGAUUUUAUAAAAAGUUCAUGUUUUCAGAUUUUUUUUGAAUUUUAAAAAUGUUCCAAUUUCAGAUUUUGUUCAUGUUUUUUCGGAAAUGUUCAGAAUAAAAAAACAUUCACGUUUCAAAGAAUAUUCGGAAAUUCAUUAUUGUUUUUUUAUGAAAAGUUCAAAAAAUCAUAAAAUGCUUCGAAUUUGACGUUGCAUUAUGUUCUUAAAUAUUCGGGCUGUCCAUUGGUUAUUGGGACGCAUUUGUCUGACUAGCUAGCAACACGUCAUCGGGUCUUUGAUUUAUGCGCUGCAAUUAGUAAUCCAUCCGGUUACGCUGUCGUAAGAGACGCCAAUAAACCCCGCCACUAUCAUGAUCUCGUGUUCCAAACAUGACCUGCAAGAAGACUGCAGCUCCCCGCUCUGUUGUCCACUGCCGCGAAGACUAUUUUCGGAGGACACAUCAUUUCUCUCACGUUGCUUCUGGUAAAAUAAUAUCUCUCAUGUUGUAAUGCACAGGCAUGUGUUCUAGUGGGUACUUGUACAAAUCCACACCUGAACCACCCAAGACAAUCACCACCAAAAAAUUUGAUGGCAAGGAGCAAACCACCAUGUACCCAACACAUGUGAUCUGGGCAUGAGAAGAUCAGCAAGUUCUUGCCUACUUGCUGAAUAACCUAUCCAAGGAGGUCCUCAUUCACGUGGCCUCGCAUGAGCAGUCCCAUGCCAUCUGGGUGGCUACCACCAGCAUGUUUGCCUCCAGUUCGAGGUCACGCAUCAACAACCUUCGAAUCAACCUGACGAACGCAGAAAAAGGUAUCCAGUCAGCUGCUGCCUACUUCGGCCAUAUGCGCUCCCUCACGGACGAGCUCGCCAUGGCAGGCGGUCCAAUCACCACCGACUAGUUGAUCUCCUUCGUCAUCGCUGGUCUGGACAUGGCCUAUCAGCCCAUCGUCUCGGCCCUGGAUGUCCUUACAAAUCCUCUCUCCAUCGACGACCUCUUCUCCAUGGUUCCCAACUUCGAUCAGCGAGUCGAGCUCUUCCAUGGGACGGACACGGGAGGAUUCAAAUCUUCUGCCAAUGCUGCUGCAUGCUUCCGCGGCAACCUCUCCAAGGGGAACCACAAUGGUCCCCGAUAUAGGAGUGACGACAAGGCCAUGGCGGCUACGGCGGUGGCCAAGGCCAUGGCGGCUAUGACAGUGGUCAUGGAAAUGGCGGCCAUGGCAGCGGCGGCUACAACGGUGGCCAUGGUGGCUACCAGAACACCUCCGGGCGCACAUACUACAACAACAACAACGGCCGUCAACGUGGUGCACCUCCUUUCUAAAGUAGGAGAAACAGACAUCCGUCAGCCACCUUUAUUCAAAAUUAGUUGCAUGUCUGUCGGUGAAACCAGUCUCAUGAAUGUGGUCAUCUAAGGUUGGUCCGGGCCGCUUCAUCCAACAGUACCGCCGAAUCAAAAGAAGACUGAUACGUCUCCGCCGUAUCUACUUUUCCAAACACUUUUGCCCUUGUUUUGGACUCUAACUUGUAUGAUUUGAAUGGAACUAACCCGGACUGACGCUGUUUUCAGCAGAAUUGCCAUGAUGUUGUUUUAUGUGCAGAAAACAAAAGUUCUCGGAAUGACCUGAAACUCCACGGAACACCUUAGAAAAAACAAUAAAAAACCUCGCCAAAGAUGAAGGCCAGGGGGCCCACACCCGGGGAGAAAAAAACCAGAGAGAAGAAAUCAUCGCAUUUUACGAUACGGAGCCGCCGCCAAGCCCUAAUCUCUCUCUGGAGGGCUGAUCUGGAGUCCGUUCAGGGCUUCGGAGAGGGGGAUUCGUCGCCGUCGUCAUCAUCAACCAUCCCCCAUCACCAAUUUCAUGAUGCUCACCGCCGUGCGUGAGUAAUUCCAUCCUAGGCUUGCUGGACGAUGAUGGGUUGGAUGAGAUUUAUCAUGUAAUCGAGUUAGUUUUGUUAGGGUUUGAUCUCUAGUAUCCACUAUGUUCUGAGAUUGAUGUUGCUAUGACUUUGCUAUGCUUAAUGCUUGUCACAGGGCCCGAGUGCCAUGAUUUCAGAUCUGAACCUAUUAUGUUUUCAUGAAUAUAUGUGUGUUCUUGAUCCUAUCUUGCAAGUCUAUAGUCACCUACUAUGUGUUAUGAUCUGGCAACCCCAAAGUGACAAUAAUCGGGACCACUCCCGGUGAUGACCAUAGUUUGAGGUGUUCAUGUAUUCACUAUGUGCUAAUGCUUUGUUCCGGUUCUCUAUUAAAAGGAGACCUUAAUAUCCCUUAGUUUCCAAUAGGACCCCGCUGCCACGGGAGGGUAGGACAAAAGAUGUCAUGCAAGUUCUUUUCCAUAAGCACGUAUGACUAUAUACGGAAUACAUGCCUACAUUACAUUGAUGAAUUGGAGCUAGUUCUGUGUCACCCUAUGUUAUGACUGUUACAUGACGAACCGUAUCCAGCAUAAUUAUCCAUCACUAAUCCGGUGCCUACGUGUUUUCCAUAUACUGGUUCUCGCUUAUUUACUUUUCCAUUGUUACUGUUACAAUCACUACAAAAUACCAAAAACAUUACUUUUGUUGUCUUUACUUUUGUUACCGUUACCACCACUAUCAUAUUACUUUGCUACUAAACACUUUGCUACAGAUACUAAGUUUCCAGGUGUGGUUGAAUUGACAACUCAUCUGCUAGUACUUGAGAAUAUUCUUUGGCUCCCUUGUGUCGAAUCAACAAAUUUGGAUUGAAUACUCUACCCUCGAAAACUGUUGCGAUCCCUUAUACUUGUGGGUUAUCAAGACCUUUUUCUGGCGCCGUUGCCGGGGAGCAUAGCUCUAUUCUUUGAGUCACUUGGGAUUUAUAUCUCCUGGUGAAAGAACAUGCGGUGCCCCCAUGUUUGGUUUUGGCAAUAUUGAUGACAAUCUCUAUGGACUAAUGGUUGCCUUGAGUUAUAUUUGAAGGGUUUGUCCAUAGGCUUUUCUUGGAGUCCAUUUGUUGGUCUCAAGGAGAGUUUGUGAUGACCACGAUGUUAUUAAGGAAUUAUCCAAAGAUAGGUCAUGUGAGUGUUGAGCUUAUUGCAAGCAUGUCUUGAAGAAGAAGAUUGUGUGAUCAUUCAUGUCUACCUUCAAGACAUCAUCCAAAUGAAGAGAAUUGGAAAGAUUCAAGGUUGAUCAAGACUAAGUCAAGAGUGAAUCAAGUUGAUCAAGUCACAAAGCAUAGAAGAUGUACCGAGAGGGAUCAAGUGAUCCCAUGGUAUGGUAAGCAUUGUCCAUUGCACUCUGUGUACUAACCCAUGGUCUAUGUGAGAGUUCUAUGUGGGGUUAGGUACAUGUCCAUGGGCUUGCGUCAAGAGGCAGAUAUCAUACAACCCAUGGAAAGGAUGACAUCAAGUGGUGAUCGUCAUCAAGAUUGCCGUGUGCAAGUUCAAGUGAAGCAUCACAAAGAGAUCAAAUGCUUGAAGCUUGCCAUCCAUCUGGUGACAAUGGACUUGUGAAGAUGAGCGGAAGAGUGGCUCACCCAUAGUGGAGUAUGGGGGAGCAAUCAACUAGUCUUCAUCGAGCCAACGCAAUCAAGAAAGGUGGUCCAACUUGAGGGAGUCAAGAUCGUCAGCAUCUAGCUCAAGUAGACCAUGUGCAAGGCAAAGGUUUGCCCUUGAUAGGUUUUCUAUUUUACCGGUCUCAUGAUGGUAGUUGGGAGACCAGGUUUUAGGAUCGUUUGCCGUACUAUCAAGGGGGGCUCUCGAUGAGUAACUUGAUCGUAUCAUUCGUAGAGAGCUCAAACCAUUGCAUCUUUGCAUCAUCUUUCUUGCUUCUUGUUUGGUUCUUUUUGUGAGUUUUGGAGCUUAUGGUCGUUUUCAUGACAAGCUCUUGUUCAUCGAAAACAGAGUUCACAUGCAUCUUAUAUGAUGUUUUCGAUGUUGGAGGGUAUGCCGGUUCUUCUCUGUUGGAGGUGUCACUCCUUUGUUUGCUAAGCAUACCUCCCCUGUUUUGAUGCUACUCGUUGUCUUAUUUUGAACAAGCUUGAGUUUGCUCAAUUCGGAGCUCAUGUGCAGAAGUUAUGGCAGUUCUGGUUUUCCUUGGAGCAUACUUUGUUUUCGCGGUAGUGGCAUAAGGAUGGCGCCCGCGGUAGUACCGCUGGGCCGGAGCGGCAGUACCGCUUAUCGCCUCAAGCGGUAGUACUGCUGUCCCACAACGGUAGUACCGCCCAUGGCCAUAAGCGGUAGUACGGCUCCGGUUCUGCGCUGGUACCGCCUCGACUCGAGACGUGGUUUUCUCGUGUCGGGUUCAGCGGUAGUAGUAGCGGCAGUAAGAGCGGUAGUACCGCUCGUGAGCGGUAGUACCGCUGGGAUGAGCAGUAGUACCGCUUAUAUGCGGUACUACCGCCCCAAGGUUCAUGUCUUGUUUGCUCUUUUUCCCUGCUUCUUCCGCCCAAGCGAUAGUACCGCUCGUGGAGCGGUAGUACCGCUCGUGUGCGGGCUGAGCACAUAACGGUUGGAUUUUUCCCCUCCUAUAAAAGGGGGUCUUCUUCCCCAAUGAACCUUAUCCUUUGACCUCGUGUUCUUCCCCCAUUGUUGACCUUCUUCGAGCUUGCUAACUCUCAAUCCCUCCAUGGAUUCUUGCUAGUUUUUGAGGGAAAAGAGAGAGGAGAUCUAGAUCCACAUUUCCACUAAUAACUUUCUCCUCUAUGUGAGGGGAACCCCUUGGAUCUUGAUCUUGGAGUUCUUGGUGUUCUCCUUCUUGUUCUUCCUCUCAUUUUCCUCCCUAGCAUUAGUUGCUUCGGUGGGAUUUGAGAGAGAAGGACUUGGGCACUCCGUGUGCCCUUGCCAUUGCAUUUGGUGCAUCGUUUUGAGUUCUCCACGUGAUACGUGGAAGUUACAAGUUGAGAAGCUUAUUACUCUUGGGUGCUUGGUGCCCUUGAGCUUGUUCCUCUUGGGUGCUUGGGCGCCCUAGACGGUUGGUGGUGUUCGGAGCUCAAUCAUUGUGGUGUAAAGCUCCGAGCAAGCGUCGGGGUCUCCAAUUAGGUUGUGGAUAUCGCCCCGAGCAAUUUGACGGGUAUCGGUGACCGCCCCCAAGGGUUGCCAUUUGUACGGGUUCGGUGACCGCCCUCAAGGGUCCCUUAGUGGAAUCACUGCAUCUUGCAUUGUGCGAUGGCGUGAGGAUAUUACGGUGGCCCUAGUGGCUUCUUGGGGAGCAUUGUGCCUCCACACCGCCCAAACAGAGAUUAGCAUCCGCAAGGGUGUGAACUUUGGGAUACAUCAUCGUCUUCGCGUGCCUCGGUUAUCUCUUACCCGAGCCCCUUUACUUAUGCACUUUACUUUGUGAUAGCCAUAUUGUUCUUUGUCAUAUAUCUUGCUAUCACAUAGUUGCUUAUCUUGCUUAGCAUAAGUUGUUGGUGCACAUAGGUGAGCCUAGUUGUUGUAGGUUUUGUGCUUGACAAAUUAACCGCUAGGUUUAUUCCGCAUUUGUUCAAGCCUAAACCAUAAUUAUUUUAAAGCGCCUAUUCACCCCCCCUCUAGGCGACAUCCUUGAUCUUUCAGCUGGACAUUAUGAAGAACUUGAAAGACGAUCUAACUACUAUUUUGCCCUCAACUACGAGGGGAGGUAAGGAACUGCCAUCUAGCUCUGCACUAGAUUCUCCUUCCGUUAUAAGUAAGCUUGUGACACCUAAACCUGCUACUGCUAUGAAUUCUGAUAUGUCGCAUGUUAUUGAUGAUGCCACUUCUGCUAUGCAUGAUACUUAUGAUGAAACUACUUCUAUGCUUGAUACUACUGUGCCCCUUGGUGAAUUUCUUGAUGAGCAAAUUGCUAGGUCUAGAGAAAGAGAAAUUAUUGAAUCUGAAUACGAUAUGAGAGUGAUGAUGAAAAUAUGUCUGCUAUUCCUGAGGGUUAUCUUUUUGAUGCAGAAUCUUCUGCAGCUAUUUUUGCUUGCCAGGAUAGAUACGAACUUAAGAGGUUGCUAGUUAAAUGGAGUAAAGAAUCUUUUAGAGAUAGAAUGAGACCCGGCCCUGCUUUUGCUACUUCACCUAUCUGUGUUCCCGAUAAGGAUUAUUAUGAAUUUUAUGUUGAUCCAGAUAUAAUUACUUUGGUUGAAUCUGAUCCUUUGUAUGGCUAUGAAUCUGAAACUAUUGUGGCACAUCUUACUAAGUUAAAUGAUAUAGCUGCCCUGUUUACUAAUAAUGAGAGAUCGCGCUACCUUUAUUUACUCAAAAUAUUUCCGUUCUCAUUAAAGGGUGAUGCUAAGAUAUGGUUUAAUUCUCUUGAUCCUGGUUGUGUGCGUAGUCCCCAGGAUAUGAUUUAUUACUUCUCUGCUAAAUAUUUCCCUGCUCAUAAGAAACAAGCUGCCUUGAGGGAAAUAUACAACUUCGUGCAAAUUGAAGAGGAGAGUCUCCCACAAGCUUGGGGGAGGCUUCUAAAGUUACUUAAUGCUUUGCCUGAUCAUCCUCUUAAGAAACCUGAAAUACUUGAUAUCUUUUAUAAAGGACUAACUGAUGCUUCCAGAGAUUACCUGGAUAGUUGUGCUGGUUCUCUUUUCAGGGAAAGAACACCGGAUGAAGCUUAAAUUCUAUUGAAUAAUAUGUUGACAAAUGAAAAUAAUUGGGCACCUCUCGAGCCACCUCCUGAGCCAGCUCCAGAGCCAAUUACUGAGCCUAUUCCUAAACCAACUCCGAAGAAGAGAGGUGUUCUAUUUCUCAGUCCCAAAGAUAUGCAAGAGGCAAAGAAAUCUAUGAAAGAAAAAGGUAUUAAAGUUGAAGAUGUUAAGAAUUUACCUCCUAUUGAAGAAAUACAUGGUCUUAAUUUACCGCCUGUUGAAGAAGUAUAUGAUCUCAAUUCCUUAUUCACUGAAGAACCUCCUGAUCCCGAUAUCCCGACACAGGUAGUAAAGGUAAAUUCUCUCUAUAGAUAUGAUAAAGCUGAAGUCCCUCCUACUAAAAUUGCUAGUCAGUGCUUGGAUGAGUUUGAUGACUUUAUGUUUAAGCAAGAUGACUUUAAUGCUUAUUUUGGUAGACAAUUAAAACAUAAUACCUUUAUGAUUAAACGCUUGGGUGAUUAUAUGGCUAAUAUUAGAGGUGAACUUAAACUUGUUAGCAAACAUGCUUCUAUGGUUACCACUCAAGUAGAACAAGUACUUAAAGCUCAAAAAGAAGUGCAUGAUGAAAUGAAUAGUAAGAAAAAUGAUUAUGGUGUUAGAGUGGCUACUAGAACUGGUAGAAUGACUCAGGAACCUUUGUAUCCUGAAGGCCACCCUAAUAGAAUCGAGCAAGAUUCUCAGAGAAAUAAUGUUGAUGUACCUAGUUCUUCUAAAAGGAAGAAAAAGAAAAAUGAUAGGACUUUGCAAACUUCUAGUGAACCUAUUGCUGAACCACCUGAGAAUCUGAAUGAUAUCUCUAUUUCUGAUGCUGAAACACAAUCAGGUGAUGAACAUGAACCUAGUGAUAAUGUUAAUGAUAAUGUUCAUGUUGAUGCUCAACCUAGUAAUGAUAAUGAUGUCGAAGUUGAACCUGCUGUUGAUCUUGAUAACCCACAAUCAAGGAAUCAACAUUAUGAUAAAAGAGACUUCAUUGCUAGGAAACAUGGUAAAGAAAGGGAACCUUGGGUUCAGAAACCCAUGCCUUUUCCUCCGAAACCAUCCAAGAAAAAUGAUGAUGAGGAUUUUGAGCGCUUUGCUGAAAUGGUUAGACCCAUCUUUUUGCGUAUGCGAUUAACUGAUGUGCUCAGAACAAAUCCUUAUGCUAAGUAUAUGAAGGAUAUCAUUACUAAUAAAAGAAAGAUACUGGAAGCUGAAAUUUCCACCAUGCUUGCUAAUUAUACUUUUAAGGGUGGAAUACCAAAGAAACUUGGAGAUCCAGGAGUGCCUACUAUACCCUGCUCCAUUAAGAGAAAUUAUGUUAAACUGCUUUAUGUGAUCUUGGAGCCGGUGUUAGUGUUAUGCCUCUCUCUUUAUAUCGUAGACUUGACUUGAAUAAGUUAACACCUACUGAAAUAUCUUUGCAAAUGGCUGAUAAAUCAACUGCUAUACCUGUCGUUAUUUGUGAGGAUGUGCCUGUUGUAGUUGCAAACGUUACUAUUUUAACGGACUUUGUUAUUCUUGAUAUUCCCGAGGAUGAUAGUAUGUCUAUUAUUCUUGGAAGACCUUUCCUUAAUACUGCAGGGGCUGUUAUUGAUUGCAACAAAGGCAAUGUCACUUUUCAUGUUAAUGGCAUUGAGCACACGGUACAUUUUCCGAGGAAACAACCUCAAGUUUAUAGUAUCAACUCUAUUGGAAAAAUUCCAUCGAUUAUAUUUGGAGGUUUUGAAUUUCCUCUCCCUACUGUCAAGAAAAAGUAUGAUAUUCUUAUUGUUGGGGAUUUUCAUAACCCUGUUGAGGUAACCUAGUUUUAUUCGAAAUUUCUCCGGUUCCGUGAUUAUUCGGAAUGAGUUUGUUAACAAGACUUGAUCAACCUUGUUAGUGGGUUCAUUUUGAUGAUCACGAGAUGGAUGAAACUAGAAGCACAACCUUCUGUACCCUCUUUAUAUUUUUUGUUAUUUAGUAGAAAUUAAGUAAAAUAGUAUUUUCCUGUCUGUCUCCUGACUUAUCUGUGCAAUAUAAAAAUAUCCCAAAAAUAAAAGUCCUCAGAAUGCCAUGCCAAUUUAAUAUGAUUUUUUCGGGAAUAUUUGAGGAUUUACUAUGCAAAAAUUACCGCAGGGGGAGCUGCCACCUGGUCACGAUGGUGGAGGGCGUGCCCUACCCCCUGGGCGCGCCCCCUGCCUCGUGGGCCCACGGUGGCCCUCCUCCACUUAUUCCUGCACCCAUCUUCUUCCUCUGCCUCACAAAAACACGAAAAACCAAGUCAAGCACGAGUUCCAGCCCCCGUUGCUGUGAUUUUCGAUCUCCUUGCUCAAAUCACCUCUCGCAAAACUGCUUGGGGAGAUUGUUCCUUGGUAUGUGACUCCUCCAUUGGUCCAAUUAGUUUUUGUUCUAGUACUUUAUUCAUUGCAAGUAUGCUGCAUAGGUGACCAUGUUCUUGAGCUUGCAUGUCAAAUUUAUAUGGUUCCAAGUAGUUCCAAUGCUUUAUAUAGGCUCUAGGCACUUAUGGGAGUUGUUGCUAUCAAUUUUAUUGAAGUUGGUUCACUUUUAUUUGAAGUUACUAAAACUUUCAGAUUGUUUCAGAAAUAAUGAAGAGACUUUUGAGGGGCUCGUCGAGCCGAAGCUCUAAGGAAAAACAAAAGGAAGAAGAGCAGAAGCCCAAAUUUAAUUUGCCUCGCACCGCGGAGGUCCGGCCGUGUGAAUGGCCUUCCGAUGACUUCUUGAGGAGAGCCGGGAUUUAUGAAGAUUUCUAUUUAUUGGUUGAGAAUGCUGGCCUCACCGACUUCCUCCGCGACCAACAUCAUCAGUAUCUCUUACUCACAAAUACUUUUGUGCAAAACUUCUACUUUUUCCCUAAGAAAUCACCUCCAACAGUAGAGUUUCAUUUAUAUGACGUUGUUAAAGAGAUGACAUUAGCUGAAUUUUGCAAGGUUUGCAAAAUACCCUUUGAGGGCACUUUGGAUGAACCACACCGUAACGAAGUAGAAGCUUUUGUUAACACUAUCACUAUGGGAGAAACUAGGAAGGUUUCUGAUGCAAGGAUCACUAGCAUACAUUUUCCUGUUUUACGCUACUUUGCCUUAUUUGCUAGUCGUUGCUUGAUUGGACGCGGGAACUGUGGAAACCUUAGUGUUCCGGAUAUUAUUAUUUUGUUCCAUGGUUUAUACCGCAAUAACUCUGUUAGUAUGGGUGGCAUUGUUGCUAGACGGUUAAGUCUGAACCGUACUAAGGGCCCUAUCUUUGGAGGCAUUUAUGCUUCGCGCUUAGCUGAAUAUUUUGAAAUACCUAUUAGGCAUGAGGAGAAAGAAGAAACAUCGUUGCCCCGUGCUUAUUUAGAUUAUAAGAGUAUGAUAGCGCAUGACUUUCUUGUUAAGAGUCGUGAAGGGGAGCUCAAAUAUAAAUUAUACUUUGAUAAACAUCACCCUGAGACUAUUACUUUGCCUGCUCCCUCUUUGUUUAACUUGUCUGUAGAUCCUCACAUCGUUCCGUGGGCAGCCGUUCAAUCCUAUCAGAAUCCUACACCAGCCCCGGAACCGGAGCCACAAAAUGAUCCUCCACGACUGUCUGUUUAUUCUUGGGAUCCAGAGGAGGUUGCCAGCCAGUGGCAAUCAGAGUCUUCUUCAUCACAGUAUGACCCCAACUUCACCUACGGGUAUCCGCCAGGCUAUCCCUGGCAAUAGACCAACUUAGGCCAAAAGCCUAAGCUUGGGGGAGUACGUAUUUCUCACCGACAUUCCAUUCAUGUUCACAUACACUCAUUGCUAGAUGUCGGUGCUCAUACUCUUUCACUGUAAUAUCCAUGCUAGUUUAUUCUCUUUUUCCUGCUUUCUUCUUGUGUGUUUAAUAAACCUUAAGAAAAAAAACCCAAAAAAUUUAGUAGUAGUUUAUUUCUUUGCUGUAGUAAUUAAAAAGAAAACCCAAAAAUAUUUCCCGUUCUUCUUUUGCUUGUUGGGAGAUUUCCCGUGUAAAUAGUUUUUAUUUCUUUUCAUUUCUUUGGGGGUCAGUAGGAGAAGACCAUGCUUAAAUUGUUGAAGUGGAUCUUAUAUGCAUGAUUGUUUAUUUAACUUAGAGCCCAUAUUACUUGUCUUCUCUCUUGAGUUGAAUGCUUGCAGAUUCCAGCUUAGUCCAAUGCACGUGCACUCUUAUUAUUAUACGCAUCGUUCGGUCGUGCAAGUGAAAGGCAAUAAUGAUGAUAUAUGAUGGAAUUAUUGGGAUGAGAAAAGCUGGUAUGAACUCGACCUCUCUUGUUUUUGUAAAUAUGAUGAUUCAUCAUUCCUGAGUCAGCUAUUAUGCAGUAAACAUAUUUGCAAUGACAUUUAGAGAUUACAGUUGCUUGUGCCAUGCUUGAUUAGCUAUGAGUUAUAAUGGUUUACCUUGCGUGCCAACAUGCUAUUAGAAUGAUUAUUAUGUGGUAUGAUAGGAUGGUAUCCUCCUUUAAAUGAAUUGAUUGACUAGACUUGGCACAUGUUCACGCAUGCAGUUGAAUCAAAUCAACAUAGCCUUCAUGAUAUUUAUGUUCAUGGUGGAUUAUAUCCUACUCAUGCUUGUAUUUGGUGUAAAUUAAUUUUAAUGCAUGUUUACGACUGUUGUCAUUCUCUCAGUUGGUCGCUUCCCAGUCUUUUGCUAGCCUUCACCUGUACUAAGCGGGAAUACUGCUUGUGCAUCCAAACUCCUUAAAACCCCAAAGUUGUUCCAUAUGAGUCCACUAUACCUACCUAUAUGCGGUAUUUACCUGCCGGUCCAAGUAAAUUUGUAUGUGCCAAACUCUAAACCUUCAAAUAACCAUUCUGUUUUGCAUGCUCGAUUAGCUCAUGUGUCAACUAGAGCUGCCCUUAUCUUUCGUGUUAGGCGGGUUAUUCUCAAGAGGAGUGGACUCCGCUCCUCAUUCACGAGAAAAUGGCUGGUAACCGGGAUGCCCAGUCCCAUGCUUUAUGCAAACUAAAUCAAAAUAAUUGCAAACAAAACUCCCCUUGGGACCCGUUGAAUGUUGGAGGCACUUGUUGUUUCGAGCAAGCCAUGGAUUAAUGCUUGUGGAGGAAGGGGAGUAUAAACUUUAUCAUUCUAUUUGGGAACCGCCUAUAAUCUGUUUAGCAUGGAAGAUAUCGUCGUCUUUUAGUUGUCAUGUUGACAAUGAAAGUAUGCCUCUCAAAAUAUAAUUUAUCUCUAUUUCAAAACCGAGCUCUGGCACCUCUACAAAUCCCUGCUUCCCUCUGCGAAGGGUCUAUCUAUUUACUUUUAUGUUGAGUCAUCACUCUUCUUAUUAAAAGCACCCGCUGGAGAGCACACUGUCGUUUGCAUUCAUUAUAAUUGGUUUAUAUUGGGUAUGACUUGACUGGAUCUCUUUUACCAUAAAUUACAAUGUUUAGUCAGUCCUUGAUCUUUAAAGGUGCUCUGCAUUUGUGUUUUGCGGUCUCAGAAAGGGCUAGUGAGAUAACAUUUUGUUGUAUCAUGUUAUGAUUAUUUUGAGAAAGUGUUGUCAUCCGAGUUUUGUUAUUAUAGCUCGUUAGCUGAUUAUGCUAUUGAUAUGAGUAAUUGUGAGACCUAUGUGUUAUUGUGAGUAUGUUUAGUUCAUAAUAUUUGCUGAAACUUGAAUGUUGGCUUUUCAUGUUUACAACAACAAGAGCAAACAGAGUUUGUAAAAGUUUUUCUUUUUCUCUUUCAGUUUGUCAACUGAAUUGCUUGAGGACAAGCAAGGGUUGAAGCUUGGAGGAGUUGAUACAUCUCCGCCGUAUCUACGUUUCCAAACAUUUUUGCCCUUGUUUUGGACUCUAACUUGUAUGAUUUGAAUGGAACUAACCCGGACUGACGCUGUUUUCAGCAGAAUUGCCAUGAUGUUGUUUUAUGUGCAGAAAACAAAAGUUCUCAGAAUGACUUGAAACUCCAUGGAACACCUUAGAAAAAACAAUAAAAAAAUCCUCGCCAAAGAUGAAGGCCAGGGGGCCCACAUCCUGUUCACGAGGGUGGGGGGCGCGCCCCCCCUAGGGCGCGCCCCCUACCUCGUGGCCCCCCUGGUGGCCCUCCGAUGCCAACUCCAACUCCAUAUAUUGGCUUUCGGGGAGAAAAAAUCGAAGAGAAGAAAUCAUCGCUUUUACGAUAUGGAGCCGCCGCCAAGCCCUAAUCUCUCUCGGGAGGGCUGAUCUGGAGUUUGUUCGGGGCUCCGGAGAGGGGGAUUCGUCGCCGUCGUCAUCAUCAACCAUCUUCCAUCACCAAUUUCAUGAUGCUCACCGCCGUGCGUGAGUAAUUCCAUCGUAGGCUUGCUGGACGGUGAUGGGUUGGAUCAGAUUUAUCAUGUAAUCGAGUCAGUUUUGUUAGGGUUUGAUCCCUAGUAUCCACUAUGUUCUGAGAUUGAUGUUGCUAUGACUUUGCUAUGCUUAAUGCUUGUCACUAGGGCCCGAGUGCCACGAUUUCAGAUCUGAACCUAUUAUGUUUUCAUGAAUAUAUGUGUGUUCUUGAUCCUAUCUUGCAAGUCUAUAGUCACCUACUAUGUGUUAUGAUCCGGCAACCCCGAAGUGACAAUAAUCGGGACCACUCCCGGUGAUGACCAUAGUUUGAGGUGUUCAUGUAUUCACUAUGUGCUAAUGCUUUGUUCCGGUUCUCUAUUAAAAGGAGGCCUUAAUAUCCCUUAGUUUCCAAUAGGACCCCGCUGCCACGGGAGGGUAGGACAAAAGAUGUCAUGCAAGUUCUUUUCCAUAAGCACGUAUGACUAUAUACGGAAUACAUGCCUACAUUACAUUGAUGAAUUGGAGCUAGUUCUGUGUCACCCUAUGUUAUGACUAUUACAUGACGAACUGUAUCCGGCAUAAUUAUCCAUCACUAAUCCGGUUCCUACGAGUUUUCCAUAUACUGGUUCUCGCUUAUUUACUUUUCCGUUGUUACUGUUACAAUCACUACAAAAUACCAAAAACAUUACUUUUACUGUCUUUACUUUUGUUACCGUUACGACCACUAUCAUAUUACUUUGCUACUAAACACUUUGCUGCAGAUAUUAAGUUUCCAGGUGUGGUUGAAUUGACAACUCAGCUGCUAAUACUUGAGAAUAUUCUUUGGCUCCCCUUGUGUCGAGUCAACAAAUUUGGGUUGAAUACUCUACCCUCGAAAACUGUUGUGAUCCCGUAUACUUGUGGGUUAUCAAAGACAUUGAUGGUAAGCAGUAUGACGAUCACCACCCACAACUCUUUGUGUUCUACUCGUGCAUAUCAUCUAUGCAUAGACCUGGCUCUGAUGCCACUAUUGGGAAAUGUAGCAUGCAAUUUAAAAAAAAUUCCUACGCUCAUGCAAGAUCUAUCUAGGAGAUGCAUAGCAAUGAGAGGGGGAGAGUGUGUCCACGUACCCUCGUAGACCAAAAGGAAGUGUUUGACAACGCGGUUGAUGUAGUCGAACUUCUUCUAGCCCCGACCGAUCAAGCACCAAACCUACGCCACCUCCGAGUUCUGCACAUGUUCAGCUCGAUGACAUCCCUCGCCUUCUUGAUCCAGCAAGGUGUCAAGGAAGUAGAUGAAUUCCAUCAGCACGACGGCGUGAUGACGGUGAUGGUGAAUUGAUUCUCGCAGGGCUUUGCCUAAGCACCGCAAAACUAUGACCCGGGGUGUAAGUGGAGGGGGCGCCGCACACAGCUAAAGAUUGUUGUUGUGUGUUCUAGGCGCCCCCUCUCCACGUAUAUAUAGGUGGGAGGGGAGGAGAGGCAGCCAUGGGGCGCCCCAAGUAGGAGGAAUCCUACUUGGGGUCCUCCCCAAUUCGGCCUCCCCCCUUUCCUUAUUUCCGGAGGGGGAAAAGGGGAGAGGAAGGAGAGAAGGAAAGGGGGGGGACCCCUAUUUCCCUUCUCCAAUUCGGCCUCCUUCCUUAGGGAGGGGGGGGGGUGCCACCGGGCUGGUGUGCUCCCCUCCUAUGGCCCAUAUCUUUCCCCCGGGGGUUCCAGUAACCCCCCCCUCGAUACUCCGGUAAAUACCCGAUACUAUCCAGAACACUUCCGGUGUCCGAAUACUAUCAUCAUAUAUAUCAAUCUUUACCUCUCGACCAUUUUUAGACUCCUCGUCAUGUCCGUGAUCUCAUCCAGGACUCCUAACAACAUUCGGUCUCCAAAUCACAUCACUCAUAUAAUACUAAAUCGUCAUCGAAUGUUAAGCGUGCGGACCCUACGGGUUCAAGAACUAUGUAGACAUGACCGAGACACCUCUCCGGUCAAUAACCAAUAGUGGAACCUGGAUGCUCAUAUUGGCUCCUACAUAUUAUACGAAGAUCUUUAUCGGUCGAACCGUUAUGACAACAUACGUUAUUCUAUUUGUCAUCGGUAUGUUACUUGCCCAAGAUUCGAUCGUCUGUAUCUUCAUACCUAGUUCAAUAUCGUUAUGGGCAAGUCUCUUUACUCGUUCUGUAAUACAUCAUCCCACACCUAACUCAUUAGUCACUUUGUUUGCAAGGCUUCUUAUGAUGUGUAUUAUCGAGAGGGCCCAGAGAUACCUCUCCGAUACAAGGAGUGACAAAUCCUAAUCUCGAUCUAUGCCAAGCCAACAAACACCUUCGGAGAUACCUGUAGAGAAUCUUUAUAAUCACCCAGUUAUGUUGUGAUGUUUGAUAGCACACCAGGCAUUCCUCCGGUAUUCGGGAGUUGCAUAAUCUCAUAGUCGAAGGAAUAUGUAUUUGACAUGAAGAAAGCUAUAGCAAUAAAACUGAACGAUCAAUAUGCUAUGCUAACGGAUGGGUCUUGUCCAUCACAUGAUUCUCCUAAUGAUGAUCACAUUCAUCAAAUAACAACACAUGUCUAUGGUUAGGAAACUUAACCAUCUUUGAUUAACGAGCUAGUCUAGUAGAGGCUUACUAGGGACACCGUGUUUUGUCUAUGUAUCCACACAUGUAUCAAGUUUCCGGUUAAUACAAUUCUAGCAUGAAUAAUAAACAUUUAUCAUGAUGUAAGGAGAUAUAAAAUAACAACUUUAUUAUUGCCUCUAGGGCAUAUUUCCUUCAGACUAACGCUCCUACUAAUUGUGUAUCUCAGUUGUCUCAUGAUGCAGAAAAUUAAGAGGAAAACAGUGAUCAUGCAGCAACAAGUAGCACAACUAGCACUCAAAAACCAUCAGUUUAUGUGUCUCCCAGGGAGAGACACAACUGUUGGUGGCAUUCGAGGUGUAUCCGCCUCAGAGCAAGUACAAUAGAGUGAUGUGAUACAUCCAUUUUGCAUCAUGUUUUCUUAAUGUUAUUUAUGAUGUUUUUAUCCAUAAUAAUGCUUUUUGGAGUAAUUCUAAUUCCUUUUCUCUCAUAAUUUGCAAGGUACACACCAAGAGGGAGAAUUACGGCAGCUGGAAAUCUGGACCUGAAAAAGCUACAUCAGGCUACCUAUUCUGCACAACUCCAAAUGAGCUAAAACUUCAUAGAGAUUUUUUAUGGAAUAUUUGAGGAAUAUUGGAGCAAAUAACUACCAGAUGGGCCCCACCAGGUGGGCACAACCCACCUGGGUGCGCCAGGGAGCCCAGGCGCGCCCUGGUGGGUUGUGCCCUCCUCGGCCCACCUCCGGUGCCCAUCUUCUGGUAUAUAGGUCAUUUUGAGCUAGAAAAAAUAGGGAGAAGGCUUUCGGGAGGGAGCACCGCCGUCUCGAGGCGGAACUUGGGCAGGAGCACUUUUUCCCUCCGGUGAAGCGAUUCCGCCGGGGGAACUUCCCUCCCGGAGGGGGAAAUCAUUGUCAUCAUCAUCACCAACAACUCUCCCAUCUUGGGGAGGGCAAUCUCCAUCAACAUCUUCAAUAGCACCAUCUCAUCUCAAACCCUAGUUCAUCUCUUGUAUUCAAUCUUGUUACCGGAACUAUAGAUUGGUGCUCGUGGGUGACUAGUAGUGUUGAUUACAUCUUGUAGUUGAUUACUAUAUGGUUUAUUUGGUGGAAUAUUAUAUGUUCAGAUCGAAUAUGCUAUUUAAUACCCCUCUAAUCAUGAACAUGUUUAUCAUUUGUGAGUAGUUACUUUUGUUCUUGAGGUCACGGGAGAAAUCAUGUUGCAAAUAAUCAUGUGAACUUGAUAUGUGUUCAAUAUUUUGAUAGUAUGUAUGUUGUGAUUCCCUUAGUGGUGUCAUGUGAACGUCGACUACAUGACACUUCACCAUAUUUGGGCCUAAGGGAAUGCAUUGUGGAGCAGCAAUUAGAUGAUGGGUUGCGAGAGUGACAGAAGCUUAAACCCCAGUUUAUGCGCUAUUCCGUAAGAGACCGAUUGGAUCCAAAAUUUUAAUGCUAUGGUUAGAAUUUAUUCUUAAUACUUUUCUCGUAGUUGCGGAUGCUUGCGGGAGGGUUAAUCAUAAGUAGGAGGUUUGUUCAAGUAAGAGCAGCACCUAAGCACCGGUCCACCCACAUAUCAUAUUAUCAAAGUAGCGAACACAAAUCAAACCAACAUGGUGAAAGUGACUAGAUGAAAUUCCCGUGUACUCUCAAGAACGCUUUGCUUAUCAUAAGAGACCGUUUUGGCCCGUCCUUUGCCUCAAAAGGAUUGGGCUACCUUGCUGCAUACUUGUUACUAUUAUCGUUACUUGCUCGUUACAAAUUAUCUUGCUAUGAAACUACCUGCUACUUACAAUAGCAGCACUUGCAUACACUACCUUACUGAAAACUACUUGUCAUUUCCUUCUGCUCCUCGUUGGGUUUGACACUCUUACUUAUCGAAAAGAGAUACAAUUGAUACCCUAUACUUGUGGGUCAUCAAGGCUAUUUUCUGGCGCCGUUUCCGGGGAGUGAAGCGCCUUUGGUAAGUGGAAUUUGGUAAGGAAACAUUUAUAUAGUGUGCUGAAAUUUAUUGUCACUUGUCACUAUGGAAAACAAUCCUUUGAGGGGUUUGUUCGGGGUAUCUUCACCUUGUCCAGAACCACAAUUAGCUACCCCUCAACCUACUGCACCUACUGAAAAUAUUGAAUAUGAAAUUCCUUCGGGUAUGAUAGAACAACUGCUAGCUAAUCCUUACGCAGGAGAUGGAACCGAACAUCCUGAUAUGCACUUGAUAUAUGUGGAACAAACUUGUGGAUUGUUUAAGCUUGCAGGUUUACCCAGAGAUGAAGUGAUGAAAAUGGUUUUGCCUUUAUCAUUGAAGGGAAAAUCAUUGGCAUGGUAUAGGCUAUGCGAUGAUAUUGGAUCAUGGAAUUGGAAUCGUUUGAAAUUGGAGGUCCACCAAAAAAUUUAUCCUAUGCAUCUAGUUCAUCGUGAUCGGAGUUAUAUAUAUAAUUUUUGGCCUCGUGAUGGAGAAAGUAUCUCUCUAGCUUGGGGGAGGCUUAAGUCAAUGUUGUAUUCAUGCCCCAAUCAUGAGCUCUCAAGAGAAAUUAUUAUCCAGAAUUUUUAUGCUCGGCUUUCUCGUAAUGAUCAAACCAUGCUUGAUACCUCUUGUGCUAGUUCUUUUAUGAAGAAGACUAUUGAAUUCCGAUGGGAUCUUUUGGAAAGAAUUAAACGCAACUCUGAAGAUUGGGAACUCGAGGAAGGUAAAGAGUCAGGUAUUAAAUUUAAGUAUGAUUGUGUUAAAUCUUUUAUGGAUACCGAUGCUUUUCAAAAGUUUAGCACUAAAUAUGGACUUGAUUCAGAGAUAGUAGCCUCCUUUUGUGAAUCAUUUGCUACUCAUGUUGAACUGCCUAAAGAGAAAUGGUUUAAAUAUCACCCACCUAUUAAGGAAGAAAUUAAAUAACCGAUACCAGUUAAAGAAGAAACUAUACUUUAUAAUGUUGAUCCAGUUGUUCCUUCUGCUUAUAUAGAGAAAUCACCUUUUCCUGUUAGGAUAAAGGAACAUGCUAAAGUUUCAACUGUGGUUAAGAAAAGCUAUAUUAGAACACCUAAACCUGAUGAACAAAUUAAAGUAGAACCUAGCAUUUCUAUGGUUAAAGAUCUCUUAGAAGAAGGUAUGGAUGGGCAUGUUAUUUACUUCUGUGAAGAAGCUACUAGAAUUGCUAAACCUGAUAGAAAAGAUAAACAUAGACCUGUUGUGGGCAUGCCUGUUAUUUCAGUUAAAAUAGGACAUCACUGUUAUCAUGGUUUAUGUGACAUGGGUGCUAGUGUAAGUGCUAUUCCUUACACUUUAUAUCAAGAAAUUAUGAAAGACAUAGCACCUGCUGAGAUAGAAGAAACAGAUGUUACUAUUAAGAUUGCUAAUAGAGACACCAUAUCACCUAUUGGGAUUGUUAGAGAUGUUGAAGUCUCGUGUGGGAAAAUAAAACACCCUACUGAUUUUCUUGUUCUUGGUUCCCCACAAGAUGACUUUUGUCCUAUUAUUUUUGCUAUACCUUACUUGAACAAUGUUAAUGCUAAGAUAGAUUGUAAUAAACAAACUGUGGGUGUUAGCUCUGGUGAUGAGUCUCAUGAGUUUAAUUUUUCCAAGUUUAGUAGAAAUCUUCAUGAAAAAGAAUUGCCUAGUAAGGAUGAAUUAAUUGGUCUUGCUUCUAUUGCUGUACCACGUAUUGAUCCUUUAGAACAAUAUUGGCUAGAACAUGAAAAUGAUUUACAUAUGCAUGAAAGAAAUGAAAUAGAUAAAAAUUUCUUUGAACAAUGUCCUCUGCUUAAACACAAUUUGCCUAUUGAAACUCUUGGAGGUCCUCCUCCACCUAAAGGUGAUCCUGUGUUUGAAUUAAAAAAAUUGCCAGACACUUUGAAAUAUGCUUAUCUUGAUGAAAAGAAAAUAUAUCCUGUUAUUAUUAGUGCUAACCUUUCAGAACAUGAAGAAGAAAGAUUAUUGAAAGUUCUAAGGAAGCACCAAGCUGCUAUUGGAUAUACUCUUGAUGAUUUAAAGGGCAUUAGUCCCACUCCAUGUCAUCACAAAAUUAAUAUGGAACCUGAUGCUAAACCCGUUGUUGAUCACCAACGUUGGUUAAAUCUGAAGAUGAAAGAGGUGGUAAGAACGGAAAUACUAAAACUUCUGGAAGCAGGUAUGAUCUAUCCUAUUGCUGAUAGUAGAUGGGUAAGUUUUGUUCAUUGUGUCCCUAAGAAAGGAGGUAUUACUGUUGUUCCUAAUGUAAGAAUGAACUUAUUCCACAAAGAAUUGUUACAGGCUAUAGAAUGGUAAUUGAUUUUAGAAAAUUAAACAAAGUAACUAGAAAAGAUCAUUACCCUUUACCUUUUAUUGAUCAAAUGGUUGAAAGAUUAUCUAAGAACACACACUUUUUCUUCCUUGAUGGAUAUUCUGGGUUUUCACAAAUACCUGUUUCUCAACCUGAUCAAGAAAAGACCACUUUUACUUGUCGUUUUGGAACCUAUGCUUAUAGACGUAUGCCUUUUGGUUUAUGUAAUGCACCUGCUACCUUUCAAAGAUGUAUGAUGUCUAUAUUCUCUGACUUUUGUGAAAAGAUUGUUGAGGUUUUCAUGGAUGACUUUUCUGUUUAUGGAAAGUCUUUUGAUGAUUGUUUAAGCAAUCUUGAGAGAGUUUUGCAGAGAUGUGAACAAACAAAUCUCGUCUUGAGUUGGGAGAAGUGCCACUUUAUGGUUAAUGAAGGCAUUGUAUUGGGCCAUAAAAUUUUUGAAAUAGGUAUUGAAGUGGAUCAAGCUAAGGUUGAUGCAAUUGAGAAAAUGCCAUGUCCUAAGGAUAUCAAAGGGACAAAUCCUACAGAAAUGUCACUCCGAAGCUUAUGGAGGGCAUCAUGCUGGAGAUAGAACUGCUCAUAAGGUAUUGCAGUCUGGAUUUUAUUGGCCUACUCUCUUCAAGGAUGCCCGUAAGUUUGUCUCAUCUUAUGAUGAAUGUCAAAGAAUAGGUAAUAUUGGUAAGCGUCAAGAAAUGCCUAUGAAUUAUUCACUUGCUGUUGAACCAUUUGAUGUUUGGGGAUUUGAUUACAUGGGACCUUUUCCUUCCUCUAAUGGGUAUACACAUAUUUUGGUUGCUGUUGAUUAUGUUACUAAAUGGGUAGAAGCUAUUCCAACCUGUAGUGCUGAUCACAACACCUCUAUUAGAAUGCUUAAGGAAGUUAUUUUCCCAAGGUUUGAAGUCCCUAGAUAUUUAAUGACUGAUGGUGGUUCACACUUUAUUCAUGGUGCUUUUCAUAAAAUGCUUGCCAAGUAUGAUGUUAACCAUAGAAUUGCAUCACCUUAUCAUCCUCAGUCUAGUGGUCAAGCUGAACUUCACAAUAGAGAAAUAAAAUUAAUUUUGCAAAAAACUGUUAAUAGGUCUAGGAAGAAUUGGUCCAAGAAAUUAGAUGAUGCACUUUGGGCUGAUAGAACAGCAUAUAAAAACCCUAUGGGUAUGUCUCCUUAUAAAAUGGUCUAUGGAAAAGCUUGCCAUUUGCCUCUUGAGUUAGAACAUAAAGCAUUUUGGGCAGUUAAAGAAAUCAAUUAUGAUUUCAAACUUGCCGGUGAAAAGAGGUUAUUUGAUAUUAGCUCAUUAGAUGAAUGGAGAACCCAAGCUUAUGAAAAUGCAAAGUUAUUCAAAGAGAAAGUUAAAAGAUGGCAUGACAAAAGAAUCGAGAAGCGUGAGUUUAAAGUCGGAGAAUAUGUUCUUUUCUACAACUCUCGUUUUAGAUUUUUUGCAGGAAGGCUCCUCUCAAAAUGGGAAGGCCCAUAUGUUAUCGAGGAGGUUUACUGGUAUGGAGCCAUCAAAAGAAAUAAUUUCGAAAGUACUAACCCGAAGGUUGUCAAUGGGCAAUGAAUUAAGAAUUAUAUCUCAGGUACGCCUAUUAAUGUUGGAAGUAAUAUUAUCCAAACUUUAACACCGGAAGAACACAUAAAAGUGUCCUUCCGGAACACUCCAGAAUCGUAAAAAUAAGGAGGUACGUGAUACGGUAAGUAAACGGACUCUGAAAAAUCAGCAAAAAUAUUUUUUAUCAGUUUUGGAAUAUUUUAGAAUUUUGGAAAUAAAGAAACUCCCAGGAAGCGUCCCCUGGUGGGCACAAGACACCAGGGCGUGCCAGGCUUGCCUAGCGCGCCCAGGUGGGUUGUGCCCACCUUGGACACCUCCCGUACUCCAUUUUUGUUCCAUGUACUUGUCCUGCAAGAUAAAAAAACUAUAUAUACUUCCCGAACCUGUUGAUCACUGAUACGUCUCCAACGUAUCUAUAAUUUUUGAUUGCUCCAUGCUAUUAUAUUACCCCUUUUGGAUGUUUAUGGGCUUUAUUUUACAUAUUUAUAUCAUUUUUGGGACUAACCUACUAACCGGUGGCCCAGCCCGUAUUGCUGUUUUUUUGCCUAUUUCAGUAUUUCGAAGAAAAGGAAUAUCAAACGGAGUCCGAACGGAAUGAAACCUUCGGGAGCGUGAUUUUUGGAACGAACGUGAUCCAGAGGACUUGGAGUGCAAGUCAAGAAGCGAUCGAGGCGGCCAGGAGAUAGGAGGGCGCGCCCCCUGUCUCAUGGGCCCCUCGGGCGGCCACCGACGUACUUCUUCCUCCUAUAUAUACCCACGUACCCCGAAAACAUCCAGGGAGCCAACGAAAAAUAAUUUCCACCGCCGUAACCUUAUGUAUCCGCGAGAUCCCAUCUUGGUGCCUUCACCGGUGCUCCACCGGAGGGGGAAUCUACCAUGGAGGGCUUCUACAUCAACACCAUAGCCCCUCCGAUGAGUUGUGAGUAGUUUACCACAGACCUUCGGGUCCAUAGUUAUUAGCUAGAUGGCUUCUUCUCUCUUUUUGGAUCUCAAUACCAUGUUCUCCCCCUCUCUUUGUGGAGAUCUAUUUGAUGUAACUCUUUUUGCGGUGUGUUUGUCGAGAUCCGAUGAAUUGUGGGUUUAUGAUCAAGUUUAUCUAUGAGAAAUAUUUGAAUCUCCUCUGAGUUCUUUUAUGUAUGAUUGAGUUAUCUUUGCAAGUCUCUUUGAAUUAUCAGUUUGGUUUGGCCUACUAGAUUGAUCUUUCUUCCAUGGGAGAAGUGCUUAGCUUUGGGUUCAAUCUUGCGGUGUCCUUACCCAGUGACAGCAAGGGUUGCAAGGCACGUAUUGUAUCGUUGCCAUCGAGGAUAAAAAGAUGGGGUUUAUAUCAUAUUGCUUGAGUUUAUCCCUCUACAUCAUGUCAUCUUUCUUAAUGCGUUACUCUGUUCUUAUGAACUUAAUACUCUAGAUGCAUGCUGGAUAGCGGUUGAUGUGUGGAGUAAUAGUAGUAGAUGCAGGCAGGAGUCAGUCUACUUGUCACGGACAAGAUGCCUAUAUACAUGAUCAUGCCUAGAUAAUCUCAUAAUUAUUCCGCUUUUCUAUCAAUUGCUCGACAGUAAUUUGUUCACCCACCGUAAUACUUAUGCUAUCUUGAGAGAAGCCAGUAGUGAAACCUAUGGCCCCGGGUCUAUCUUUUAUCAUAUAAGCUUUCAAUUACUUUUAUUUGCAUCUUUACUUUUCCUAUAUAUAUUAUAAAAUACCAAAUAUAUAUUUAUCUUAUCAUACUAUCUCUAUCAGAUCUCACUUUUGCAAGUGGCCGUGAAGGGAUUGACAACCCCUUUAUUGCGUUGGUUGCGAGUUCUUUGUUUGUUUGUGUAGGUGCGUGGGACUUUUGAGGAGCCUCCUACUGGAUUGAUACCUUGGUUCUCAAAAACUGAGGGAAAUACUUAUGCUACUAUUGCUGCAUCACCCUUUCCUCUUCAAGGAAAACCAAUGCAAGCUCAAGACGUAGCAAGAAGGAUUUCUGGCGCCGUUGCCGGGGAGGUCUUCGCUCAAGUCAAGACAUACCAAGUACCCAUCACAAACUCAUCUCCCUUGCAUUUACAUUAUUUGCCAUUUGCCUCUCGUUUUCCUCCACCCCACUUCACCCUUGCCGUUUUAUUUGCCCUCUCUUUCCCAAUCUUCUCCUCUCUUUCGCAUGCUUUUUUCUGUUUGCUUGUGUGCUGGAUUACUUGUCGCCAUGGUGCAAGAUAAUACCAAAUUGUGUGAUUUCUCCAAUACCAAUAAUAAUGAUUUUCUUAGUACUCCAAUUGAUCCUCUUAAUGAUGUUGAGUCUUGUGAAAUCAGUACUGCUUUGCUGAAUCUUGUUAUGAAAGAUCAAUUCGCCGGCCUUCCUAGUGAAGAUGCCGCUACUCAUCUAAACAACUUUGUUGAUUUGUGUGAUAUGCAAAAGAAGAAAGAUACGGAUAAUGAUAUUGUUAAAUUGAAGUUAUUUCUGUUUUCACUUAAAGACCGUGCUAAAGUUUGGUUUUCGUCUUUGCCUAAAAAUAGUAUUGAUUCUUGGAACAAGUGCAAAGAUGCUUUUAUCUCUAAGUAUUUUCCUCCCACUAAGAUCAUCACUCUUAGGAAUGAUAUUAUGAAUUCUAAACAACUUGAUCAUGAGCAUGUUGCCCAAUCUUGAGAAAGAAUGAAAUUUAUGAUUCGCAAUUGCCCUACUCAUGGUUUGAAUUUAUGAUUCGCAAUUGCCCUACUCAUGGAUGAUCAUACAAAAUGUUUAUGCCGGUUUGAACUUUGCUUCUAGAAAUCUUUUAGAUUCGGCCGCGGGAGGCACGUUUAUGGAAAUCACUUUAGGAGAUGCUACAAAACUUCUUGAUAAUAUUAUGGCUAAUUAUUCUCAAUGGCACGCCGAAAGAUCUUCUAGUAAAAAAGUGCAUGCUAUAGAAGAAAUCAAUGUUUUGAGUGGAAAGAUGGAUGACCUUAUGAAAUUAUUUGCUACAAAAAAUACUCCUCUUGAUCCCAAUGAUAUGCCUUUGUCUACUUUGAUUGAGAAUAAUAAUGAAUCUAUGGAUGUGAAUUUUGUUGGUAGGAAUAGUUUUUGAAACAAUGCUUAUAGAGGAAACUUUAAUCCUAGACAGUUCCCUAGUAAUUCCUCUAAUAAUUAUGGAAAUUCCUACAAUAAUUCUUAUGGUAAUUUUAAUAAGAUGCCCUCUUAUUUUGAGAAUAGUGUGAAAGAAUUUAUGAUUUCUCAAAAUAAUUUUAAUGCUUUGCUUGAAUAAAAAUUGCUCAAAGUUGAUGAUUUUGGCUAGGAACGUUGAUAGACUUUCACUUGAUGUUGAUUCUCUUAAACUUAGAUCUACUCCUCCUAAGCAUGAUAUCAAUGAGUCUCUCAAAGCCAUGAUAAUUUCCAUUGAUGAGUGCAAGGAAAGAACCGCUAGAUUGCGUGCUAAGAAAGAUUGCUUUGUAAAGGCGGGUUCUUCUAGUUUCAAUGAAAAUAAUGAUGAAGAUCUUAAAGUUAUUGAUGUGUCUCCUAUUAGAUCUUUGUUUUGCAAUAUGAAUCUUAAUAAUAAUGGGACUGGAGAUGAGUCAACUUUAGUUAGAAGGUGUCCCAAUAAUUUGGAGUUUUUAGAUCUUGAUGUUAAAUUUGGUAAAAGUGGGAUUGGAGAGGUCAUGACUUUAAAUAGCAUCGAACCCACUAUCUCGGAUUUCAAGGAAUUUGAUUAUGAUAAUUGUUCUUUAGAAGGUUGUAUUUCCUUGUUGCAAUCCGUUGUUAAUUCUCCUCAUGCUUAUAGUCAAAAUAAAGCUUUUACCAAACAUAUCGUUGAUGCCUUGAUGCAAUCUUAUGAUGAAAAACUUAAUUUGGAAGUUUCUAUACCUAGAAAACUUAAUGAUGAGUGGGAACCUACUAUAAAGAUUAAAAUUAAAGAUCAUGAGUGUUUUGCUUUGUGUGAUUUGGGUGCUAGUGUUUCCAUGGUUCCGAAAACUUUAUGUGAUAUUCUAGGUUUCCAUGAUCUUGAUGAUUGCUCUUUAAAUUUUCACCUUGUGGAUUCCACCAUUAAAAAUCCAAUGGGAAGGAUCAAUGAUGUUCUCAUUGUUGCAAAUAGAAAUUUGGUGCCCGUAGAUUUUAUCGUUCUUGAUAUAGAUUGCAAUCUUUCUUGCCCUAUUAUUCUUGGUAGACCUUUCCUUAGAACGAUUGGCGCAAUUAUUGAUAUGAAGGAAGGGAAUAUUAGAUUCCAAUUUCCAUUAAGGAAAGGCAUGAAGCACUUUCCAAGAAAGAAAGUCAAAUUACCCUAUGAAUCUAUCAUGCGAGCUACUUAUGAAUUGAGUACCAAAGAUGGCACUACUUAGAUCUAUCUUCGCUUUUAUGCCUAGCUAGGGGCGUUAAACGAUAGCGCUAGUUGGGAGGCAACCCAAUUUAUUUGUGUUUUUUGUUUUUGUUUCUGUUUAGUAAUGAAUUUUGCAUCUACCUUAUGUUUAGAUGUGUUUUUAUGUUUUAAUUAGUGUUUGUGCCAAGUAGAACCUAUAGGAUAACCUAUGGUGAUAGUUAAUUUGAUUCUGCUGUAAAACAGAAACUUUGCACGCACGAAAUUAGUUUUGUUAAAUCACAGGAACAUUCUUUCGCGUUGAUUCUUUUUGCUGCUUAUCAAUAGACAAAUUUCCCAGGACUUCCUAUUUUGGUAGGAUUUUUAAAGUUCCAGAAGUUUGCGUUAGUUACAGAUUGCUACAGACUGUUCUGUUUUUGACAGAUUCUGUUUUUCGUGUGUUGUUUGCUUAUUUUGAUGCAUCUACGGCUAGUAUUAAGUGGUAUGAACCAUAGAGAACUUGGAAUACUGUAGGUUUAACACCAAAAUAAAUAAAGAAUGCGUUCAUUACAGUAGCUUAUGUGGUGGUUUUGUUUUCUUUCACUAACGGAGCUUAUGAGAUUUCCUGUUGAGUUUUGUGUUGUGAAGUUUUCAAGUUUUGGGUAAAGAUUUGAUGGACUAUGGAAUAAGGAGUGGCAAGAGCCUAAGCUUGGGGAUGCCCAAGGCACCCCAAGAUAGUCAAGAGUAGCCAAAAGCCUAAGCUUGGGGAUGCCCUGGGAAGGCAUCCCCUAUUUCUUCUUCGUUCAUUGGUAACUUUACUUGGAGCUAUAUUUUUAUUCACCACAUGAUAUGUGUUUUGCUUGGAGCGUCGUGUAUGAUAUUAGUAUUUGAUUUUUAGUUUUCCACAAUCAUCCUUGCUGUACACACCUUUUGGGAGAAGCCCACUUGAUUAGAAUUUAUUAUAAUACUCUAUGAGCUUCACUUAUAUCUUUUGAGCUAGAUAGUUUUUGCUCUACUACUUCACUUAUAUCUUUUAGAGCACGGCGGUGGCUUAAUUUUGAAGAAAUUGCUAGUCUCUCAUGAUUCACUUAUAUUGUUUUGAGAGUAUUUUAGAACAGCAUGGUAUUUGCUAUGGUUAUAAAAUUGGUCCUAGAAUGGUAGGCAUCCAAGUUGGGUAUAAUAAAAACUAUCAUAGGAAGUGAAUUGGAUGCUAUGAUCAAUUUGAUACUUGAUAAUUGUUUUGAGAUAUGGAGGUAGUGAUAUUAAAGUCAUGCUAGUUGGGUGAUUAUGAAUUUAAAGAAUGCUUGUGUUGAAGUUAGCAAGUCCCGUCGCAUGCAGGUAUGGUUAAUGUUGUGUAACAAAUUUGAAACAUGAAGUAUACUUGGAUUGUGCAUCCUUAUGAGUGGCGGUCGGGGACGAGCGAUGGUCUUUUCCUACCAAUCUAUCCCUCUAGGAGCAUGCGCGUAGUGCUUGGUUUUUUAUGACUUCUAAAUUUUUGCAAUAAGUAUAUGAGUUCUUUUGACUAAUGUUGAGUCCAUGGAUUAUACACACUUUUACCUUUCCACUAUUACUAGCCUCUUCGGUACCGUGCAUUUCCCUUUCUCACCUUGAGAGUUGGUGCAAACUUCGUCGGUGCAUCCAAACCCCGUGAUAUGAUACGCUCUAUCACACAUAAACCUCCAUCAUAUUUGUGGCAAAGCCACCAUGCAUGAUUUUUCAUACAUGUCACUCUUUAUUCAUUGCACCAUCCCGGUACACCGCCGGAGGCAUUCAUAUAGUCAUAUCUUCUUCUAGUUUCGAGUUGUAAUUCAUAUGUUGUAAUCAAUAAAACUGUGAUGAUCAUCAUUAUUAGAGCAUUGUCCNNNNNNNNNNNNNNNNNNNNNNNNNNNNNNNNNNNNNNNNNNNNNNNNNNNNNNNNNNNNNNNNNNNNNNNNNNNNNNNNNNNNNNNNNNNNNNNNNNNNNNNNNNNNNNNNNNNNNNNNNNNNNNNNNNNNNNNNNNNNNNNNNNNNNNNNNNNNNNNNNNNNNNNNNNNNNNNNNNNNNNNNNNNNNNNNNNNNNNNNNNNNNNNNNNNNNNNNNNNNNNNNNNNNNNNNAAAAGAAAGGCCAAAGAAAAAAAAGAAAAAAAGAAAAAAUAAUAAUAAAAAAAGGGGCAAUGUUACUAUCUUUUUUUCCACACUUGUGCUUCAAAGUAGCACCAUGUCCUUCAUAUAGCGAGUCUCAUAUAUUGUGCUUCAAAGUAGCACCAUGUUCUUCAUAUAGUGAGUCUCAUAUGUUAUCACUUUCAUAUACUAGUGGGAAUUUUUCAUUAUAGAACUUGGCUUGUAUAUUCCUACGAUGGGCUUCCUCAAAUGCCCUAGGUCUUCGUGAGCAAGCAAGUUGGAUGCACACCCACUAGUUUUCUUUUGUUGAGCUUUCAUUCAUUUAUAGCUCUAGUGCAUCCGUUGCAUGGCAAUCCCUACUCCUCAUGUUGACAUCAAUUGAUGGGCAUCUCCAUAGCCCAUUGAUUAUCCUCGUCAAUGUGAGACUUUCUCCUUUUUUGUCUUCUCUACACAAUCCCCAUCAUCAUAUUCUAUUCCACCCAUAGUGCUAUAUCCAUGGCUCACGCUCAUGUAUUGCGUGAAAGUUGAAAAAGUUUGAGAUUAUUUAAGUACGAAACAAUUGCUUGGCUUGUCAUCGGGGGUGUAGAAUUUGGGAACAUUUUUGUGUGACGAAAAUGAAGCAUAGCCUAACUAUAUGAUUUUGUAGGGAUGAACUUUCUUUAGCCAUGUUAUUUUGAGAAGACAUGAUUGCUUUUAUUAGUAUGCUUGAAGUAUUACUAUUUCUUUUAUCAAUAUGAACUUUUAUUUUGAAUCAUUUGGAUCUGAACAUUCAUGCCACAAUAAAGAAAAUUACAUUGAGAAUUAUGCUAGGUAGCAUUCCACAUCAAAAAUUCUGUUUUUAUCAUUUACCUACUCGAGGACAAGCAGGAAUUAAGCUUGGGGAUGCUUGAUACGUCUCCAACGCAUCUAUAAUUUUUGAUUGCUCCAUGCUAUUAUAUUACCCCUUUUGGAUGUUUAUGCGCUUUAUUUUACAUAUCUAUAUCAUUUUUGGGACUAACCUACUAACCGGAGGCCCAGCCCAUAUUGCUGUUUUUUGCCUAUUUCAGUAUUUCGAAGAAAAGGAAUAUCAAAUGGAGUCCAAACGGAAUGAAACCUUCGGGAGCGUGAUUUUUGGAAUGAACGUGAUCCAGAGGACUUGGAGUGCAAGUCAAGAAGCGAUCGAGGCGGCCAGGAGAUAGGAGGGCGCGCCCACCCCCACUAGGCGCGCCCCCCUGUCUCGUGGGCCCCUCGGGCAGCCACCGACGUACUUAUUCCUCCUAUAUAUACCCAUGUACCCCGAAAACAUCCAGGGAGCCAACGAAAAAUAAUUUACACCGCCAUAACCUUCUGUAUCCGUGAGAUCCCAUCUUGGAGCCCUUGUCGGUGCUCCGCCGGAGGGGGAAUCGACCACGGAGGGCUUCUACAUCAACACCAUAGCCCCUCCGAUGAGUUGUGAAUAGUUUACCAUGGACCUUCGGGUCCAUAGUUAUUAGCUAGAUGGCUUCUUCUCUCUUUUUGGAUCUCAAUACCAUGUUUUCCCCCUCUCUUGUGGAGAUCUAUUUGAUGUAACUCUUUUUGCAGUGUGUUUGUCGAGAUCCGAUGAAUUGUGGGUUUAUGAUCAAGUUUAUCUAUGAGAAAUAUUUGAAUCUCCUCUGAAUUCUUUUAUGUAUGAUUGAGUUAUCUUUGCAAGUCUCUUUGAAUUAUCAGUUUGGUUUGGCCUACUAGAUUGAUCUUUCUUGCCAUGGAAGAAGUGCUUAGCUUGGGGUUCAAUCUUGCGAUGUCCUUACCCAGUGACAGCAGAGGUUGCAAGGCACGUAUUGUAUUGUUGCCAUCGAGGAUAAAAAGAUGGGGUUUAUAUCAUAUUGCUUGAGUUUAUCCCUCUACAUCAUGUCAUCUUUCUUAAUGCGUUACUCUGUUCUUAUGAACUUAAUACUCUAGACGCAUGCUGGGUAGCGGUCGAUGUGUGGAGUAAUAGUAGUAGAUGCAGGCAGGAGUCGGUCUACUUGUCACGGACGUGAUGCCUAUAUACAUGAUCAUGCCUAGAUAAUCUCAUAAUUAUUCGCUUUUCUAUCAAUUGCUCGACAGUAAUUUGUUCACCCACCGUAAUACUUAUGCUAUCUUGAGAGAAGCCACUAGUGAAACCUAUGGCCCUCGGGUCUAUCUUUUAUCAUAUAAUCUUUCAAUCUACUUUUAUUUGCAUCUUUACUUUUCCUAUCUAUAUUAUAAAAUACCAAAAAUAUAUUUAUCUUAUCAUACUAUCUCUAUCAGAUCUCACUUCCGCAAGUGGUCGUGAAGGGAUUGACAACCCCUUUAUUGCAUUGGUUGCGAGUUCUUUGUUUGUUUGUGUAGGUGCGUGGGACUUUUGAGGAGCCUCCUACUGGAUUGAUACCUUGGUUCUCAAAAACUGAGGUAAAUACUUACACUACUAUUGUUGCAUCACCUUUCCUCUUCAAGGAAAACCAACACAAGCUCCAGAAGUAGCAAUCACCGUGUCGUAGAGAAAUCCUCUGUUCUUUUUUUCUUGAUGUUUUCAUUGCUGACCCAAAGACCUAUGGGGACCUAUCUCCUUAUGGUCGAACUACUGAUGACGAGGGGAAUGCUCACUUGAUGAGGAUCGAUGAUUCAAGCUUGGAGGAGGAGGAUGUCCCUCUACCUCAACCUGGGGAUAUGCACGUGGAGUUCAAGAAGUCCAGUCUCCCUAAGAGAGCUAACCGAUCUAAUAACCGAUCUAUUCCUCUUUGUUUUUGGCAGAACAACAAAGGGGAUUUAUGUGAUAAGAUCUUGAAGCUGGAGUUGGAAGGCACAAUUACAAUAUGAAAUAGUUGAAGGCACAAUUAUCACCACCACCAUCUUCUUCACCACCAAAGGAGAACUGAGUAUCGGGUAUGGGCACUCCCCUUGGCUUCUGCCAAGCUUGGGGGAGGUGCCCCGGUAUCGUAUCAUCCCACUAUAUUUUGCUUUUUACUUAUUUCAGUUUGAUCUUUUUGCUUUAGAUGAAAUAAAGUUAGUUCGAUCCUUUCUUCUUUGAGAGUUUGCUUAGUGAUCUAUCCUUGUAAUCGUGUGCAAGUUAUAUAAUAAAGUUUAGUUCGAGUUUUUUCUUUCUUUACUUUCAUGUUGCAAAUAAAGAAAAGAAAUAAGAGAGGAAAUAAAUAAAAGAAACACUACUAGGGAAAACCUUAUACACAGAAUCUUAGCAGCAACGCGGUUCAGUGGGAGGCGCUACUGCUAAUUAGCAGCAGCGAGGUAGAAAAACAGGCGACUGCUACUGACUUAGCAGUAGCGCGGUUUGGCGGAACCAUUCUGCUACUAAAGUCGACCGACAGUUCCCGCCAACCUAGAUUUAGCAGUAGCGCGGUUUAUAUAAGCGCGCUGUUGAUAAAGUAAUAGCAAUAGCGCGCUUUCUACCAUACACGCUACUACUAAUUGUCGUUUUUUUUAAAUUGGCCACAUGGCGGGACCCACUUAGCAGUAGCGCGUGUGCCAUAAGCGCGCUGCUGCUACGUCUAUAGCAGUAGCGUGGUUCGUGACUAGAGCUACUUCUAAGCCACAACAUAUGCCACCUUUUCCCUCUCCCCCUCCCCCAUCCUCUCUUCCUCACUUUCCCCUACCUCCCACCUCCUCUCUCCCUCACUUUGCUUCUUCCUCACUACUUCUCCCCCCAUUAAUCUCCUUCUGCUACCUACCUUUCUCUCUCUUUGUUGCUCCUAGCUAACUUACACCACCUCCAUUAAUGCAUCUCCUUUCUAUUUUUCCUCUCCCUCCACUAGAUAGUCAUCUCCUUCCCCAACUAUCUUGGUAGAUCUACCCAUUUAAUGAAGUGAGAUAUGUACCUCCCUAACUAGAUCUAGCCAUCUCAAGAAGUAAGCUUUGUCCACUUUUGAUCAUUCCCUAGGAGUGUGGUGCCACCGAUCGACAUCAUCAUCACCGUGCUCGAUCUCGAGAUAGGUGAUUAGAAAUCUGUGCUUUUGCAAGAAUGGAAAUAUGUGUAUGUGUGCGGUAUGACAUAAUCGCGUGAUAUGAUGGAAAUUGUGUGUGUGGCUAGAGUUGCCGCCAAUUGUGCUCGAGUUGCCUAUGUUUUGCCGAAAUGUCGAUUUAUUUCCGUUUCGGCGAAUUUCAGGCAAACUCUAUAUGUCCUAUUUUUAGGGAACGUCAUGCCGAAUUUUUGUAUGACUUUGAUGCAUGCACAUAUUUUUAUAAUCAAAUUGUUUAUUAUUACCAUGCAGGCAUUCAUGAUGGUCAGUGGAACUAUGGUGGACAGGUGGUUGCGAUCGGCGGUGCAGGACAUGAAAGAAAAUAACCUGACAGAGGUUUUAUGUUCGUGUCAAAGAUGCAAAGUCGGAGUUUGGCUCGACCCCUAUGAUGCGAUAACGCACCUGCUCAUGACUCGUUUCAUGGAUGGCUAUACUCGGUGGAUAAUUGAAGAUGAGGACGAUGAUGUUGGGGACGCCGAUGGGGCAGGCAAUGAUGACACGGGGCAAGACAAAGAGAUGAUCGACAAUGACGGCGGGGAAGAGGCCGGACAUGGCGGCGGAGAAGGGGCCGGACAUGGUGGAGAGAACAUGGACUCCACGCUACAGAGUUCGUCGAUACUAAGUUCAAUCGUGCGGGGCCCUCAUGUUCAAGCACUGCUUCGCAAGGAGACGAGUACUGAGAGAGUUGCUUCUAGUGAGGAGGCUAAGCUGCAACAACUAGGGGUAGACUCAAACACUCCAUUGUAUGACGGUUGCAAUCCUGAGGUGACCCACUUGAGUUUCACGCUCCAACUCCUGAAGACAAAGGCUAAAAACAAAUGGACCGACACUAGCCUCGAUGAGCAUCUCAAGUACCUAAAGGAUGUUCUUCCUGCGGGGAAUAUAUGUCCUACUAGUGUGGAUGAGGCCAAGAAGAUCGUGUGCCCUCUUGAUCUGCCGCAUGUUAGAUACCAUGCAUGCAUCAACGAUUGCAUAAUCUAUCGGAAGGAGCAUGCAAAAAAAAGCUGUCCAGUGUGCAAUGCUUCUCGAUACAAGGUCGGGAAGAAAUCUCCUCAGAAAGUUGUAUGGUACUUACCAAUCACUCCCCGUCUCCAGCGGUAUUUCGUAGAUCCCAAGGAAGCAAAGCUCAUGCACUGGCACACGGAGAGGAAGAAGCCCGACGAUGGAGAUGAUCCGAAGCUGAGACACGUCAAGGAUGGAAGCUAGUGGAGAGCAUUGAACGACUUCUAUCGGUAUUUUGAAUGUGAUGCAAGGAACAUCGUGCUCGGCGCGUGUACCGAUGGCAUGAAUCCAUUUGGCAACCAGAACACCAACCAUGUACAACCUCCCCCCUGGUUGUGCAUGAAGUCGAAGUACAUUCACAUGAGCAUGCAGAUUCAAGGGCCGAAACAACCAGGAAAUAAUAUUAAUCUGUAUAUGGCGCUACUUCAAGAGGAGUUAGACACGUUAUGGAAAACACUGACCAAGACAUGGGACCCAGCAAAGGCAAGUAUUUCUACAUGAGAGCCGUGCUGAUCACGACGGUGCACGACUAUCUCGGUUACAGAUAUGUCGCAGGCCAGGUGUGCCAUGGAUAUUGCGGAUGCACGCGGUGCAUGGAUGAUACGACGUCUCAGCAGCUAACGUCAAGGAAAGAUGGCGGGUAUGGGAAAAUCGUGUACAUGGGGCAUCGAAGAUGGCUCGAGAAGGACGACCCAAGGAGAAACCAUCGAGAUCUAUUCAAUGGUCACGCUGAGCAUCGAGGACCUGCACGUAAGCGGAGCGGCGCCGAAAUUGAUGAGCUGUUGAAAAACUGGGAACAAUGCCCCGUGAUAAGCCACAAGUAUAGGGGAUCAAUUGUAGCCUCUUUCGAUAAGUAAGAGUGUCGAACCCAACUAGGAGCUAAAGGUAGAAAAAAUAUUCCCUCAAGUUCUAUCGACCACCGAUACAACUCUACGCACGCUUAACGUUCGCUUUACCUAAAACAAUUAUGAAACUAGAAGGACUUUGUAGGUGUUGUUGGAUAGGUUUGCAAGAAUAUAAAAAGCACGUAAAUAUAAACUAGGGGCUGUUUAGAUAAAGAAGCAAUAAAUUUAGUAUAGCGAGUGUGGAAAAGUAGUGGUAGGAGUUAUGAAAUUGUCCCUAAGCAAUUGACUACUUUACUAGACCGAUAGCAAGUUUUAUGUGGGAGAGGCCACUGCUAGAAUGUCAUCCCUGACUUGGAAUUCUAUGCACUUAUGAUUGGAACUAUUAGCAAGCAUCCGCAACUACUAACUUCAUUAAGGUAAAACUCAACCAUAGAAUUAAGAUAUAUUGGUCCCCCUUCAAUCCCGUAUGCAUCAAUUUCUAUGCUAGGUUGAAGCUUCUAUCACUCUUGCCCUCCAAUACAUAGUCCUAUCAACAUACCACUAACCCUAUGGUGUGAUCCACGCGCGCACUCAUAUGAUGGGCACCAAAGGACAACAACAUAACCACAAGCAAAUUAAACCAAUCAUAGCAAUUCACCAAUUACCGAAAGGAAAACAAAAAUCUACUCAGACAUCAUAGGAUGGCAACACAUCAUUGGAUAAUAAUAUGAAGCAUAAAAGCACCAUGUUCAAGUAGAGGGCACAGCGGGUUGUCAGAGAGUGGACCGCUGAAUAUAGAUGGGGGAAGGUGAUGGAGAUGUUGAUGAAGAUGAUGGAGGUGUUGGUGUAGAUCGCGGUGAUGAUGAUGGCCCCGGUGACGUUCCGGCACCACCGGGAGAGAGGGGGAGAGAGCCCCCUUCUUCUUCUUCUUCUUCUUCUUCUUCCUUGACCUUCUCCAUAGAUGGGAGAAGGGUUUCCCCUCUGGUCCAUGGUCUCCAUGGCGUGGGAGGGGCGAGAGCCCCUCCGAGAUUGGAUCUGUCUCUCUGUCUCUCUCUGUUUUUGCGUUCCCUGAUUCUGCCCUUUCACCGUUUCUUAUAUAUCCGAAGAUCCGUAACUCUGAUUGGAUUGAAACCUUCAACAUGAUUUUUUCCGGAAAUUGGCUUUCUUGCGGCAAAAGAAGAGCAGCAACCGCCUUACGGGGUGCCCACGAGGGUGAGGGGCACGCCCACCCCCUGGGGCGCGCCCCCCCUGCCUCGUGGCCCCCUCGGGCACCGUCUCGCGUUGAUUCUUCUUCCCAAAAAUCAUAAAUAUUCCAAAAAUAUUCUCCAUCCGUUUUUAUCCGGUUUGGACUCUGUUUGAUAUGGGUUUUCUGCGAAACAUAAAAUAUGCAACAAACAUGAACUAGCACUAGGCACUGGAUCAAUAUGUUAGUCCCAAAAAUAGUAUAAAAAGUUGCCAAAAGUAUAUGAAAGUUGAAUAAUAUUGGCAUGGAACAAUCAAAAAUUAUUGAUACGACGAAGACGUAUCGGCAUCCCCAAGCUUAAUUUCUGCUAGUCCUCGAGUAGGUAAAUGAUAAAAAAAGAUAAUUUUUUAUGUGGGAUGCUACCUAGCAUAAUCUUGAUCAUGUAAUCUAAUCAUUGCAUGAAUAUUAAGACCCGAGUGAUUCAAGGCAAUAGUCUAUCAUUUUACAUAGAAACAAUAAUACUUUGGGCAUCCCAACAAGCAACCAUGUCUUUCAAAAUAUCAAUGCUUCAGAACGUUAUCCCUACAAAAUCAUAUAGUAUUUUAUGCUCCCUUUUCUUAAUACAAGGUACCCCUCAUGCUCAUCCCGGUGUCAGCCAAGCAAUUGGUUCAUACUUUUUAACGCGCUUCAGCUUUUUCAACCCUCAUGCAAUACAUGAGCGCAAGCCAUGGAUAUAGCACUACAGGUGGAAUAGAGUGUGAUGGUGGAGGUUGUGUGGAGAAGACAAAAAGGGAUAAAGUCUCACAUCGAUGCAGCAAAUCAACGGGCUAUGGAUAUGCCCAUCAAUUGAUGUUGAUGCGAGGAGUAGGGAUUGCCAUGCAACGGAUGCACUAGAGCUAUAAGUGUAUGAAAGCUCAAACUGAAACUAAGUGGGUGUGCAUCCAACUUGCUUGCUCAUGAAGACCUCGGGCAUUUGAGGAAGCCCAUCAUCGGAAUAUACAAGCCAAGUUCUAUAAUGAAAAUUCCCACUAGUAUAUGAAAGUGACAAUAUAGGAGACUCUCUAUAUGAAGAACAUGGUGCUACUUUGAAGCACAAGUGUGGUAAAAGGAUAUUAACAUUUCCCCUUCUCUCUUUUCUCUUUUUUUUUAUUUUCUCUUUUUUUGGUGGGCUUCUUUGGCCUUUUUUUAUUUGGGCUUCUUUGGCCUCUUUUAUUUUUCAUAAAGUCCGGAGUCUCAUCCCGACUUGUGGGGGAAUCAUAGUCUCCAUCAUCCUUUCCUCACAUGGGACAAUGCUCUAAUAAUGAUGAUCAUCACACUUUAUUUACUUACAACUCAAUAUUACAACUCGAUAUCUAGAACAAAGAUAUGACUCUAUAUGAAUGCCUCCGGUGGUGUACGGGGAUGUGCAAUGAUCUAGCAUAGCAAAGAUAUAAAAAAAGGACAAGCCAUGAAAACAUCAUGCUAGCUAUCUUACGAUCAUGCAAAGCAAUAUGACAAUGAAUGCUCAAGUCAUGUAUAUGAUGGUGAUGGAAGUUGCAUGGCAAUAUAUCUCGGAAUGGCUAUGGAAAUGCCAUAAUAGGUAGGUAUGGUGGCUGUUUUGAGGAAGAUAUAAGGAGGCUUAUGUGUGAUAGAGCGUAUCGUAUCACGGGUUUUGGAUGCACCGGCAAAGUUUGCACCACCUCUCGAGGUGAGAAAGGGCAAUGCACGGUACCGAAGAGGCUAGCAAUGAUGGAAUGGUAAGAGUGUGUAUAAUCCAUGGACUCACAUUAGUCAUAAAGAACUCAUAUACUUAUUGCAAAAGUUUAUUGGCCCUCGAAGCAAAGUACUACUACGCAUGCUCCUAGGGGGGAGUUUGGUAUGAGUUAACCAUCGCGCGCCCCCGACCUUCACGCAAAGAUAAACAAUCAAAAUACAAUGCACGCCAAUUUGGUUACAUAGUUAGGAGACCAUACGUGCAUGCUUUGGGAAUCACAAAGCUUAACACCAAUAUCCUUACUAAACACAACCAUUUACUAGAACCUCCCACAUAUUAUCAUCUCUAUAUCGCAAAACUAUUGCAAGGAAUCAAACAUAUCAUAUUCAGUGAUCUACAAGUUUUAUGUAGGAUUUUAUGACUAACCAUGUGAAUGACCAAUUCCUGUCAUCUCUCUAAAUAGAUAUAAGUGAAGCAAGAGAGUUUAAUUCUUUCUACAAAAUAUAUGCCCACGCUCUAAAAAAUAUAAGUGAAGCAAAAGAGCAUUCUACAAAUGGUGGUUUUCUAUGUGAAGAGAAACAGGCAAUCCAAACUUCAAAAGAUAUAAGUGAAGCACAUGAAGCAUUCUAUAAAGCUAUACUCAAAAGAUAUAAGUGAAGUGCAAUGAGCAUUCUAUAAAUAAACCAAGUACUAUCUCAUACCAGCAUGGUACAUAAAAUAAAAGUGAAAACUAAAUGCAAAAGACGCUCCAAGAUUUGCACAUAUCGCAUGAACGAAACGAAUCCGAAAACAUACCGAUACUUGUUGAAGAAAGAGGGGAUGCCUUCCGGGGCAUCCCCAAGCUUAGACGCUUGAGUCUCCUUGAAUAUUUACUUGGGGUGCCUUGGUAAUCCCCAAGCUUGAGCUCUUGCCUCUCCUCCUUUUCCUCAUAUCGAGACCUCCUCGAUCUUCGAACACAUCAUCCACACAAAACUUCAACAGAAAACUCAGUAAGAUCCGUUAGUAUAAUAAAGCAAAUCACUACUCUAGGUACUGUUGCAAACAAAUUCAUAUUUUGUUUUUGCAUUAUAGCUACUGUAAUAUAACUUUUUCAUGGCUUAAUCCACUGAUAGAAAUUGAUAGUUUCAUCAAAACAAGCAAACUAUGCAUCAAAAACAGAAUCUGUCUUAAACAGGACAGUCGGUAGUAAUAUGAACAUUCACCAUACUUCUGGUACCCCAAACAUUAUGCCAAAAUUACUAAAAAUAAAAAAUUUGUAUAUAAAGAGAGUGCAAAAAGUUUCAGAACCGUUUGACGUUCCAGUAAAAAAUGUAAAACCGCGCACUAUAGCCAAAGUUGCUGUCCUGCAUCGCAAAAACCAACAAGCAUUGUAAACAUCCUAAAGGCAAACCUUGGCCCAUUAUUUUUAUAAUACAAUGGAAUUGUACAAGGGGAUAAUUAUUUUUGUUGAAAAGUUUCUGUAAUCAAGAUUCACAAAGUUUCCGUGAGCAUGAACAAAGUUUAAGGGUAGCUCCCACUUUAACAAUGCUCGUCUUUCUCACUUUCGCUUUUCUUUUUGAAAAAGUUUUGGGUUCCCCUCUUUAUUUUUUUGUUUUUAAACUUUAUGAAAGAACACAACAGAAAUAAAUGACUCUCUAAAACUUCCAGGUUGUCUCCCUGGUAGCACUUUCUUUAAAGCCAUUAAGCUAGGCAUAUAGUGCUAAGGAAUUGAAUCCACCCGGAUCCCAAGGUAUAUCAAAGCCAAUUUUAAUUAACAAUGAUUUGUAAUUUAGUAGUGAGCAAAAAGUAACAUAUAUCAAGCAAUGACGAAGUCUAACUCUCUUCCUAUGCAUCGGCAUGUCAUAAAAGAACAAUUCAUGCACACCAAGUAAAGGCCAAUGCAUAAUAUAAGCAGUUUCUUGCAAUUCUAUCAUGUUGGAAACAUAAAGAGGCGGAGAUGUAGUUCCUCUCUCAUAAUAAUUGAAAGUUGGAGCAGCAAGCACAUGCAUAUUAUAUCUAUCAAAAUCAUCAUGUGCAACGGUAAAAUGCAACCCAUCAACAUAAUCCUUAAUAAGAGCAAACUUCUCCGAUAUAGUGUAGUUUGGAGAAUUCAAGGAGAUAAUAGGACUAUUAUGUGUGGGUGCAAUAACAACAAUUUCAUUUUUAACAUAAGGAACUAUAUCAAGUUCAUCUCCAUAAGCAUCAUUCAUAUUGGCAUCAUGGCCACAAGCAUAGCAAGCAUCAUCAAAAAGGGGUAUUUCAAGAGAAUCAACGGGAUCAUAACAAUCAUCCUUCGGUAAGCACGAAGGGAAAUUAAACAAUGUAUGAGUUAAAGAGUUACUCUCAUUAGAAGGUGGGCACGGGUGAUCAAUCCGCUCUUCCUCCUUUUGUUCUUCGCUCUCCUCCUCAUCUUUUUCAUCCAAUGAGCUCACAGUUUCAUCAAUUUCUUCUUCCAUAGACUCCUGCAAAAUAUUAAUCUCUUCUUGGACAGCGGAGGAGUCCUCAAUAUAUGGUUUAACAUAGGCAUUAGAAGCAUAAUUAUCAUAACAAUAUUUAAGUAUGGCAAAAUUUUCAGAUUUGUAAAGAGUAGCAUCAUACUUUCCAAUCAAAGAAGCAAUUCCAUAAGCACCCUUAAAAGCAACAAAUUCUUCAAUUUGUUGAACAUCAUAGCAAUUAUAAACACCCUUAGCAUACGAAGAUACGAUUCCAUUAUCACUAAAUUCACAUUGGUAGGGAAGGUGUUUCUUAGGGUCUUCAGAACAACAAGUGAAAUCAUAUAUUUCACAUAAAUUCCAAGCAUAGCAUUGCAAACGAUGAAUUUGAUCCAGUAAAAGUUUCCCUUUUUGAGAUAAGAGGUGUCGCACAUAACAAGCAUGCUCAUCUAAAGAUUUGCCCUCAACUAAGCUAGUUGGGGUUUCAGCACGAGCACAUAGGGAUCAAAGAUGAUCCAAGUAAAAAGCUUCAGGGGUGUGAUAGAUUUUGAGUGGUUCUUCAACCAUUGGUGUAGUAGGUACAACUAUUUUUUUGGUAUUUUGCAUUUCCUACCCAUAACUAAAGAUAUAGAACAACAAAUAAAAUCACUUAGUGAUAAAGCAAACAAGCACACACGAGAAUAUUCACCCCACGCUAUGACUCCCCAGCAACGGCGCCAGAAAAAGCUUUUGAUAACCCACAAGUAUAGGGGAUCAAUUGUAGCCUCUUUCGAUAAGUAAGAGUGUCGAACCCAACGAGGAGCUAAAGGUAGAACAAAUAUUCCCUCAAGUUCUAUCGACCACCAAUACAACUCUACGCACGCUUAACGUUCGCUUUACCUAAAACAAGUAUGAAAUUAGAAGGACUUUGUAGGUGUUGUUGGAUAGGUUUCCAGGAAUAUAAAGAGCACGUAAAUAUAAACUAGGGGCUGUUUAGAUAAAGAAGCAAGAAAGUUAGUAUAACGAGUGUGGAAAAGUGGUGGUAGGAGUUGCGAAAUUGUCCCUAAGCAAUUGACACUUUACUAGACCGAUAGCAAGUUUUAUGUGGGAGAGGCCACUGCUAGCAUGUCAUCCCUGACUUGGAAUUCUAUGCACUUAUGAUUGGAACUAUUAGCAAGCAUCCGCAACUACUAACGUUCAUUAAGGUAAAACCCAACCAUAGCAUUAAGAUAUAUUGAUCCCCCUUCAAUCCCGUAUGCAUCAAUUUCUAUGCUAGGUUGAAGCUUCUAUCACUCUAGCCCUCCAAUACAUAGUCCUAUCAACAUACAACUAACCCUAUGGUGUGAUCCAUGCACGCGCUCAUAUGAUGGGCACCAAAGAACAACAACAUAACCACAAGCAAAUUAAACAAAUUAUAGCAAUUCACCAAUUACCGAAAGGACAACGAAAAUCUACUCAGACAUCAUAGGAUGGCAACGCAUCAUUGGAUAAUAAUAUGAAGCAUAAAGCACCAUGUUCAAGUAGAGGGUACAACGGGUUGCGGGAGAGUGGACCGCUGAAUAUAGAUGGGGGUAGGUGAUGGAGAUGUUGGUGAAGAUGACGGAGGUGUUGGUGUAGAUCACGGUGAUGAUGAUGGCCCCGGCGGUGUUCCGGUGCCACCGGGAGAGAGGGGGAGAGAGCCCUCCUUCUUCUUCUUCUUGUUCUUGUUCUUCUUCUUCUUCUUCCUUGACCUUCUCCCUAGAUGGUAGAAGGGUUUCCCCUCUGGUCCAUGGUCUCCAUGGCGUGGGAGGGGCGAGAGCCCCUCCAAGAUUGGAUCUGUCUCUCUGUCUCUCUCUGUUUUUGCGUUCCCUGAUUCUGCCCUUUCACCGUUUCUUAUAUAUCCGGAGAUCCGUAACUCCGAUUGGAUUGAAACCUUCAACAUGAUUUUUUUCCAGAAAUUAGCUUUCUUGCGGCAAAAGAAGAGCAGCAACCACCUUACGGGGUGCCCACAAGGGCCAGGGGCGCGCCCACCUGCCUCGUGGCCCCCUCGGGCACCGUCUCACAUUGAUUCUUAUUCCCCAAAAUCAUAAAUAUUCCAAAAAUAUUCUCCAUCCGUUUUUAUCCCAUUUGGACUCCGUUUGAUAUGGGUUUUCUGCGAAACAUAAAACAUGCAACAAACAGGAACUGGCACUGGGCACUAGAUCAAUAUGUUAGUCCCAAAAAUAGUAUAAAAAGUUGCCAAAAGUAUAUGAAAGUUGAAUAAUAUUGGCACGGAACAAUCACAAAUUAUAGAUACGAUGGAGACGUAUCACCCCGCGCCAGGAAAGACGAUGAAAAAGGUGCCGGAGCCGCUGCUGAAGGUAUGGAAGACGAGGUCUGUGUUCUGGGACUUGGAAUACUUGCACAAACUCGACCCACCUCAUUGCCUUGAUCAAAUGCAUAUCUGUAAGAAUGACCUCGAGAGCUUGCUUGCGACACUGAUGAACAUGCCGGAUAAGACCAAGGAUGGGCCGAAGGCAAGAAAAGACUUGCAAGACUUGGAAAUCAGGGAAGAUCUGCACAUGCUGCCCCGUAAAAAGUCAGAUGAGACAGAGAUGGAGACAGAGGCGCGGGGGAAGAAGGGCAAAAAAGUAAAGGAAGAGGAUUAUUGCCCCAUUCUUGCUUCACCUUAAGUCGGGCUGAGAUCGAUCAAUUCUUUAAGUGCCUUACCGGAGUCAAAGUUAGUUCCGGUUAUGUGGCAAGAUAAACAGAUAUCUAGACACGAACAAGUAAAGGUUCAACGGGAUGAAGUCCCAUGACUGUCAUGUGAUGAUGACGCAAAUACUACCUGUUGCCCUUGGAGGGAUAAUGGACAAGCACGUACGUGACACACUUAUUGGUCUCUGCAACUUUUUCGACGUCAUCUCUCGAAAGUCGAUCAGUGUGAAGCAGCUCCGAAGGCUACAGGAAGAGAUCGUUGUGAUACUGAAUGAGCUUGAGAUGUACUUCCCGCCCGCAUUCUUUGACGUCAUGGUGCCGGAACAGAGCACUACCCCGACGGCCGAAUAUAUGCCGACGGCCCCCGUCGGCCUACGGCGGGCUAUGCCGAAAGCUAGGUCCAGGCCGUCGGCGUAUAUAGGCCGUCGGGCUACCCCGAGCUAUGCCGAGGGCCCCCGUCGGCACAGAAACACCGUCAGCCUAGCUACACGUACGCCUACAGCCGCCGUCGGCAUACAUGGGCCGUCAGCAUAGCUGUGGGCCCGACGACCCCCCCACCCACCCACCAUAACCAACGACUAACGAUGUUUAAGCUAUGCCGAUGGCAAAGACGGGCGACCAUCGGCAUAGAUUUGCACGCCACGUCAUCGAUCCGAAGCACACCAACCAGCGUCUAUGCCGACGGCUGCCGUCGGCAUAGCCGCCACGUCGUCGAUCCGCGGCGAGCCGGCCACCUAUCCGUUAUAUAUAUUNNNNNNNNNNNNNNNNNNNNNNNNNNNNNNNNNNNNNNNNNNNNNNNNNNNNNNNNNNNNNNNNNNNNNNNNNNNNNNNNNNNNNNNNNNNNNNNNNNNNNNNNNNNNNNNNNNNNNNNNNNNNNNNNNNNNNNNNNNNNNNNNNNNNNNNNNNNNNNNNNNNNNNNNNNNNNNNNNNNNNNNNNNNNNNNNNNNNNNNNNNNNNNNNNNNNNNNNNNNNNNNNNNNNNNNNNNNNNNNNNNNNNNNNNNNNNNNNNNNNNNNNNNNNNNNNNNNNNNNNNNNNNNNNNNNNNNNNNNNNNNNNNNNNNNNNNNNNNNNNNNNNNNNNNNNNNNNNNNNNNNNNNNNNNNNNNNNNNNNNNNNNNNNNNNNNNNNNNNNNNNNNNNNNNNNNNNNNNNNNNNNNNNNNNNNNNNNNNNNNNNNNNNAUAAUGUGUCGUCAUGUUCUUUUGAAUAUAGGUCCUUAUAUUUUAUUAAAAUCAAAAACAACUAUGUGCCGACAGAAGUGUUGUGGCGGUUGCAAACGCCCAGCACACGUCUCCGGAGUGUGACCCCCUCACGUCCGGGAUGUGCCCCCCCAUGGACGGCGCCGCCGCCGGCACCUGGAGGGGGGAAACAGCCGUAUCGGGUCUAUACGGAGGGGACGUUGCUCCCAGUUGUUUCUAUGGGCUGACCUACCACAACCGGAUGGUGUGGUGGCAUAUCUGAAGAGGCGGCACGCGUCUCCGGGGUGUGGCCCCCCUCACGGACGCGCCGCCGCCGGCACCUGGAGGGGGAAAAACGGCCGCGUCGGAUCUACACGGAGGGGAUCUUGCUGUGAGUUUGCCUCGGAAGGUGCUCCCAAGUGUUCGUAUGGGCUGACCUAACACAACUGGGUAGAGAGGUCCACUGGUCAAAGCCCGUCCGUGAAAAGUCAAAGGGCUAGAUCUCGUGGUCAAACGCUACAGGGUUAGGCCGGACGGGCCCCCUAGAGGGUAGCAAUGCCACCGAAGCGUCGCACCGGGCCCUCAUACAUGCCGUACAGUGUGGUGGUAUGUCUGAAGAGGCAGCACGCGCCUCCGGGGUGUGCCCCCCCCCCUCAAGGAUGGCGCCGUCGGUUGCCGUCAGAUGAUAAUCUCUGCCGGCGGUGUAUAUAUGCCAACGGCCGUACGGACGCCGUCGGCAUAUAUGCCUAUGCCGACGGUCUGACACAAAUACGCUGAUGUGAUCUACGCCAACGGGUUUGUGCCGACGGUGGCCGUCGGCGUAGACCUAAGCCGAUGGCAGAGGGCCUAUGCCGUCGACUUAGGGGGUCAGUCCGCUAGUGGCACCUGACGCCGCAGUCGACAAUUAGCUUCCAAGCUGCUCCGUUUAGGAGAAGAGAGAAAGAUCUGAAGAGCUAGCUUGUCGAUCAUGGGAUGGUAUGCAAACGGUGUUGAACGGCUGUGAUUGUAGCAGCAUUGCAGCAACCAAUGAAAUGAGUUUCUGCCGAUGUUAUGUUGAUACAUAAUAAUAAUGUUUCCAUGGCGGGAUCACAAUUCACAACAACCAAAUUUAUUUGUCUUUUUUAUGACGAAAAAGUGAUAACAAGUAUUCUUAAGCUAACUUAUAGAAGAGUUAAAAUUCAAAGGAGGGGCAAGAAACGUGUCCAUAAAACUUGAAGCAAAGGCGGGGUUACCGACAUCUAUUUUUGAGAAGUUUCGGUUCAGUCUAUGCGUCACGGGUGACGUAUCGACUUCGGGGGAGUUGAGCAUGAUCAUUAUCGCACGUACAUUAGGCAGCUAGGAUUUCGUUUUAUUGUUUCCGAGUCUAGAGAUAUCUCCGGAUCCUUUCCUUGUAUAGCCGAUAUGGUUGAUAUAUUACUGCCCAUGUACUCUCUAUAUAUGCUACGGCAUAGGAUCAAUGCAAAUAUUCACAAUCCACACGUAGGUUGGAGGAGGAAGGAGAUGGAGGCGAAGAAGCUGAAGGGCGCCGCCAUGGCCGCGCUGUGUGUGCUCCUCCUCCUGGUGCUGUUGCCCGGGGAGGUGGCCGCCAAGUCCAAGUUCUGCCGGUGCUUCGACGACUGCUUCCCCGGGUGCGUGGACAAAAAGGUGCCGCACUUCCUCUGCCAACUGUUCUGCGCCAACAAGUGCAGCCCCAACCAGGCCGCCGUCCGCGGCGACGCCAUGUGCAGGAUGGCCUGCAGCAAGCUGAGUAUCAACAUCUGCGGCUGGUCAGCGGGGCCGGCCGGUAAGAAGACGUCGGACCGUCUUGAUCACAUUCUUCUUCUUGAUAAGUUGAAUCCAUGUCUUCUUUUCCCUUUGACAAGAACGGUUUCAUCUUUUUGUUCUGAUGAUUUCUGCUCUUGCAUUGCAAUUUUUGCAGAUGCAACUGACGCCCAAGUCUGCGCGCAGAACUGCAACAGGAGACUCAGCCGCAUGGCCCGUACCAAUUAACCUCCAGGCUGCUCCGGUUUAGGAGAAGAGAAAAAGAUUUGAAGAGCUAGUUUGUCGAUCAUGGGAUCAUUACGUAUAUGAUAUAUAUGAUGUUGAGUGGCUAUGAUUGUAGCAGCAACAAAUAAAAUGAGUGCCUCGAUAUGUAAGGCCGGCAUAUAUAUACAUAAUAUGAAGUUAAUUUCGCUUCGAUUUGGUAUUUCCAAUGUUUUUUUUUGUCUUUUUGCGACCAAAAAGUGCGACCUUCACCCCAUUAACUUAUCCCAGAGAUGAGAUUUUUUUUUCCAAAUAUUAGCCAAGCCAUUCAAGUUGAAGCUUUCGAUACAGACUAGAGAAAGGAGAAAAGAUAAAAGGGCACAGAAGCAAAGUAGCAUUGCUACUGAAACUUAAUAACAAAGGCUAAUACUGAUUUUAUUUUAUUUUUUAGAGAUGGAGGAGGACCUCCGGCCUCUGCAUCUGGACGAUGCAUGCAGCCAUUUUAUUAAUUAUUCGCACAAGACCUUACAAAGUCAUCUGAAGCCACCGUCUAGGCAACAAACUGUCGCUAGUCAUAUCCAAUUGAUGAAGGGAUGCUGAUAGUCUGGGCCUAAUACCAAAUAGACCACGCAGCCAAACCUAAUAUCUAAGACCUAAGGUCCCAACCAGGACGUCUGCCGGGUAUGGGCACCUACCAGUCCGGCGUGCUUAGGACGCCUACUGGGUAUGAGGCCGCCGCAGCCACCUGCCACCAAUCCAUCUUCAGAGUUGUACUGUUGCAUCUAGCUGCCGCCGACGCCACCACGACGCCAGACAACGUCGACCUCCUGCGCGUGUCCAUUGCCACACAUCUAACGCCAAGCCUCCGCUGCUCCAUGCCGCCAAGAACCUCCGCCAUGAAUAUGUAGAAAGAAACACCGCUCCACCAAAGAAGCCAACCGUUGGUCCCUCGAGCCUGAGUGCAUCUCCAAGAAUGCCGCCCCAAGGGGAUAACGGCACAUGAAUGCCGCCGUCAUCCGAUCAACUGAUCUAGGGUUUCCCCCGGAGGUAUUGGGUGGGGUUGGGAGUUUCACCUCGAUGAUGCCUUCAUGAAGGAAAUGAUGAUAAGGGCAUGGUCAUCACCGGCUCCGGCCAACGACCGAAUACCAUGUUUUCACCUGAUUCCGUCCCAAGGAAUCCAUCCGACAACCCGUGCACCGUCUCGACCGCCUUCAAAGCCCUAGAUCUAGCCACCUAGAUCCGGCGACCAACCGCAACAGCAGUGCCAUCGUAGGAGCCCUGGCGCACCGGUCACUGCCAGAGUGUGCCACCACUAGAGCCCGGGAGGAGGGCUCCCACCCCCACUGCACCUCGCCAAACCGCGAGAGCCGCCGAGAUGGAUCCCGCGCGCUCGUCACCGUCUCUGAUCCGAACCAAUCUGCAAUCAGAUCGCCGUCACGGAUCCACCUUGGACAGGGACUGCACCACGCCAUGCCGCCGCAGGAAGCCCGAGCUUCACCCGCCGCCCCGGGAUCCAGACAGAAUAUCGCCGCUGCCACCGACCUUGUUCCGCCGCCGCUGACCGGCCGAGCCGCCGGCCACUGCGACCUCCGCCGCCAUGGCCAUGCAAGCCCUCCGAGCGACCGGCACCACCAGAUCUUCCACGAAGCCCGCAGCUCCGCCGCCUCCGACCCUCACCACCCGCCACCUUGCGCCGUCGCCGGAGGAACGACUGCGCCGUCGCGUUGCAGAUCAGGACGGAGCGCCCUGGCAUCGCGGGAGACCCGCCUCACCCGAUGCAACACAGGAGGGAAGAGGGCCUCCGCCGCCGCCGUCAGCCGCCCGGGGCUUCGCCCGGCGGCCUCCUCCAACGGCAGUAGAGGGGAGGGGGAAGAUGGAGGCGCCUAGCGGCGGUGGGGGCGACGCGGGGGCAACUAGUUUUCAAUGGCCUCCCACACGGUGCUCAUGGAGGCCGCGGAGUUCAACUUCAGCCGAAUACUGAUUAUUUGGCCUUGGUUUGCCUGUCUUCCUAAUAAUAACGAAAUAAUUUCUUCAGAGGCAAGUUAGGCUUGGACUUUUUGGCAGAAACAAGUGAGCCAUUUUAUUAUUGGCAAAAAAAAGCGAGCCAUCUUAUUUUCUUCAGAAGCUAGCUCAUAAAAUAUUUCAAUUGUUAGCCAACUCAUAGAGGAAUUCCAAAUUUUUGCAGCUGAUACAACAUCCAAGGCUUCAUAGCAUCUAAAAAACGAAGAAAAAGUAGCACUGGGACCUCUUCCCAACUCUCAGCUCAGACUGAGACUACUAAUGGGAUUCAAAAUUCAUUAGUCAGAACUAUAUACUUCUGAAUAUUGAGGUGCAAAUUUAACAACAAAAAACACACACAAGGGGCAUAAAGGAAAAUAGGCAAAGCAAUGACAGUAGCUACCAUAUGAUUUAAUGAAGGCGCAUGACACAAUGACAUUCCAGAGAAAGCUGAAAACGGAACAAGGAGCCACUAUAGGGAGAUAUUUAUAGAUAAAGUUAUGACUGUAAUUUCAGAAACACAGUCUCAAAAACAAAAAAAAACAAAAAAA